rnacentral:lncRNA from 1 species
AUCAAAAAGCUAGAUCUUUUUUGGGGUUUGGACUCGACAGCAACUUUUGGAAGCAGUCAGGUCAAGGAUUCCAAAAUUUACUGUUACUUAGGGUCUUAGAUUUGAGUUUAGAUUAUAAAAUAGACUCUAAAGGGUGGAGAAUACCUUCGAGCAUUGGAAAACUCAUUCAUUUGAGAUAUUUGAGCUUACAAAUGGGUUGGGCAACUCAUGUACCUUCUUCUUUACGGAAUCUAAAGCUUCUAAUCUAUUUGAGUAUUUACUCCCGGGAAAGAGUUCAUCUGCCAAGUAUCUUUAAAGAGAUGGUACAGUUGAGGUUCCUGCUGCUUCCCCCUUUUGUUGACGCUAAAACAAAGUUGGAAUUGGGUAAUCUAGUGAACCUGGAGUACUUGGGCUGGUUCCGAUCAGAAUACGGUAGCAUCACUGACUUCCUCCGAAUGAAAAAGCUCAGGACUCUCGAGAUAUUUCUCAAAGGCAGGUAUACUUCUGAAAUUCUAGCGUCAUCUCUCGGUGAAUUAACAAACCUGGAGGAGUUUAGAUUGAUCGAUGAGAACAACGAAUCCGAUGGGGCUUAUGAUUUGGAUUUCGUUUGUAAUUUCAUUAAGCUAAGGCAUUUAGUGAUAUGGAUGCAUAUGACAAGGCUUCCUGAUCACUCUCGAUUGCCUCCCAACCUUGCACACAUAUCUCUAACUAACUGUGAAAUGGAGGAGGAUCCACUGCAGAUUCUGGAAAAGUUGCUUCAUUUAAAGUCGGUUGAAUUAUCAAGUAAUGCUUUCGUGGGGAGGAAGAUGGUGUGUUCAAAAGGUGGAUUCCCUCAAUUAUCUAAGCUUGAAAUGUCGUACCUAGACGACUUGGAAGAGUGGAUAGUGGAAGAAGGGUCGAUGCCAUGUCUUCGUACCUUGUCUAUAUGGUAUUGUGAAAAGUUGAAGGAGCUACCGGAAGGGCUCAAGUAUAUCACUUCUUUAAAGGAACUGGAAAUCAUACAUAAGAAGAAGGAGUGGGAGACGAAACUCGUACCAGGUGGGGAAAGUUACCACAAAGUCCAACACAUUCCCAGUGUUCAAUUAGACUAUCGUGGCGACGAAUAAGGAGAAUACAACCGUCUCAGGUAUAUAUACUUUUGUUUGGUAUAAUGUCAAUAUUGUUCUCCAUGAAGUUUAGUGUGGAAGUCUCAACUAUCUAACCUUUUUAUUAUUCGGUUUUCAGGUGAACCUACUCAGAAUCAGUACCCACUUAUUGAUUCUGUGAUGUGAUAUAUGUCGUUUUUGUUGUAUUGGUGUGUGAAGUUUACAUAUCUUGUUUGUGAUAUAUUUCGUUUAUCUGUUUGCAUGCUCAUUCACUGUAAUGCUAAGUUUGGAAAUACAUUUGUAUAUCUUCUUCGAUUUCUCCGUUGUGUGUGCCUAGUUGACUUGUAUGGUCGGAAUUUGAGAUAGAACGGUGCUUUGAUAGUGAUCACUGAACAUCAUUCUUAACAUGAUUUUAUCAUUUGGUUUAAGGAAUGUCAAGAGCUUUUAAAUGAAACAUCUAGUUAAUCCGUUUUAACAGAUAUAGAACCUUGGAGUUUAUUGAAACCAAAGUCAAGAGUUUCUCACCACAAUGGGACUCUCCUCACAGUUGAUAUCAAUGGCGCAAUCAAAUCAUAUAUACAACACCUUAGAGGAUUCAAGAAAGUCUCUUGGUUCCAUUCCUUCGCGUCCUGGUUCGCUUUUUUCACUAUUCAAGUGAUCAGCACUUUUGAUUGAAAACUGAUACCACACAGCAUCCACUUGAAACUAAACAUAAAUAUACAACCAAACAGUUACGCAAUGAUAGCUCAACCAGACAGAACCGAACCGAAUCUUAGUUUUGCUUUCCAAAUUUUAAAUAACGGGAUAAACCGGUUGAUUCUCAUCCAGUUCUGUAAUUUGUCUGACACUACUCAAGUGAUCAGCACUUUUGAUUGAAAACUAAUAACACACAGCACCCACUUGAAAGUUGAAACUAAACGCAACUCAAUGAUAAACCGGGAUAAACCGGUUAGUUCUCAUCGAGUUCUGUAAUUUGUCUUUUACUAUCAAACCGGACAAAUUGAUGGUUUAAAAACAAAACUCAGUCUGGAUUAUAAUAAAAUCAGAUCAUGAAACUCUACCAAACAAGAGUCCUUUCGGUCUCUGCAAAUUUGUUUUCGACUCUAAUUGAGAGGAGGAGAAGUCCAGUACUUGAAACGAAUCCAAAAACGCGGUGAUCCGUGCGUUUUCAGACACCAUCGCGACCGUAUGCAUAACUGGGUUAGAGCUUCCUCAUCCGAUUUCACCGGAACUCCUCCACAGCCCAGGAGGUAAAUUAAUUACUUCUUCUCCAUUCAAUUUCCGAUUUUAAUUUCAGCUGAUGAUUUUUAUUCUUCAUCAGUGGACAUACAGCUGUCAAUGUCGGAAAAUCCAUGGUCGUGGUGUUCGGCGGCCUCGUCGACAAGAAGUUCCUCAACGACAUCAUUGUUUAUGACAUUGGUAAUAUUAUACUUCAGCCUAUGAUUAUUGAUUCCUUGAUCCAAAGAAAUGCUUUUUUUUUUUAAUUUCUCUUGAGUUACUGUCUUGGCUUGCUUUGUUUAUAAUGAAAGACUAGUGUUUCUGGUAGUUUAUUUGUCUGUUAAGCUUAGUUAGGCUGAUGCUUCCAUCAAAGAUAGUUACUUUGGAAAAAUUAUAGAAAACUGAAAACUUCACAAUGAAAUUAUUCGAUUCGGUGUUAGUUUUGUUGCUUAGCAUCUUUUGUCCCCUCCUUGGCAUUGUUUUAAUUAUCAUAUGGUCAGCUUUUUUAAUCAUGUGAGAAUCGGUUUGUCUUAUGAUUCGGUCGACUAGAGAACAAACUCUGGUUUGAGCCAGAAUGUACCGGCAGCGUGUCUGAAGGAAAAGUUGGUCCUACACCUCGCGCGUUUCAUAUUGCCAUCACUAUUGAUUGUCAUAUGUUCAUCUUUGGUGGACGUUCUGGUGGCAAGAGGUACUCACUACUAUUUAUUUUCUAGUUAUAAGCGUUUUUGCAUUCUUUUUUCAGUAACUUCUAUAAAUCAAUUUCAGGUUGGGUGACUUCUGGGUUCUAGAUACAGGUAAGUGUACAAUCAUAACAAUGUCACUGAGACCUGCCUGGAACUUUUUAAUACCCUGCUGCUGACAUUUUCUGCAGAUAUAUGGCAGUGGUCUGAGCUAACCAGCUUUGGCGACUUACCUACGCCUCGUGAUUUUUCUGCCGCCGCUGCUAUUGGGAACCAGAAAAUUGUGUUGUGAGUAUUCAGAAAUUUUAGACGUUCAUCAGCUUGUUGCAUGCAUUGGCGUAACCUAUGAUCAUUGGCAGGUGUGGCGGCUGGGAUGGUAAAAAAUGGCUGUCAGAUGUGUAUGUUAUGGACACAAGUAUAUCUCGCCUCUACUUCAGUUUUGUAAUAAAACUGUUUUUAAGUUUAUGAUAAUGUCAGCUUUCUUGGUGUCUGUUAGUGUCUCUUGAAUGGAUGGAGCUGUCGGUUUCGGGGUCGUUGCCGCCUCCUAGAUGUGGCCAUACAGCCACCAUGGUUGAGAAACGUUUACUUGUUUUUGGUGGCCGAGGUAUAACACCAGAACCAGAAUCUUUGUUCUGCUUGAGCUGAUGACAACUAAACUGAGACUAUGGUUAUCUUUGACAGGAGGUGGUGGCCCUAUCAUGGGUGAUCUGUGGGCUUUGAAGGGUCUAAUAGAUGAAGGUUCAUCCUUACCUAAAUUACUUAAAAAUUGCAUUGAAUUAUGUAGAGGAGUAUUCUCUUGAGUUGUCUUUCUUUCUUUUGUUCUGUUUGCUGAUCUUAUUGUGGGGUUUACCUUUGCUGUGGAAGAAAGAACGUGAAACACCUGGAUGGACCCAACUAAAGCUUCCUGGCCAAGCACCAUCAGCUCGAUGUGGUCACACUGUCACAUCCGGAGGACAUUAUGUAUGUCUUUUUCAGCUUCCGUUUGCUCUUUUGUAUAAAUAGGUUCGCAUGACAUACAUCACUCACAUCAUUAAUGUUCAUGUAUGAAGCUUCUGUUAUUUGGGGGACAUGGAACUGGUGGAUGGCUGAGUCGUUAUGAUGUAUAUUAUAAUGACACUAUAAUUUUAGACAGAGGUAAAUUCUUGCUUAUGAGAUUCGUCUCCUCUGCUAAAGGAGCACUCUAAAUCCAAAAAUCCACCUCAGUAAUUUACAAUCUAGUGAGAUGAUAAAAUUGUGAUGUGCUUUAUCAUUUUUCUUGCUGAGCAUUGUUUUCUACGCGUUGUUGCUAAAUUUAUAUUUUCACAUACUAGUAACUGCACAGUGGAAGCGCUUACCAAUAAGCAAUGAUGAACCUCCUCCUCCUCGAGCUUAUCACACCAUGACAAGUAUUGGAGCUCGUCAUCUUUUAAUUGGUGGUUUUGAUGGAAAAUCAACCUUCGGUGAUCUUUGGUGGUUGGUUCCUGAAGGUAUCUUUCUCUUAUUUAUACUGAUGUUUUAGUCCAACUUAGCUAUCAUUCUGUGUACACGCAUCAUCAGUUACUUAUAGUUGGAAACUCUUUAGACGAACUAAUCUUGGUGUUGGUCGCAGAUUGUAGGCAAUUUUAGAGACACUUAAUUUCUAGCAUAAUCUUUUUUUUCUUCUUUAUCAAGUUUGUAUUGAAAGUUUUGAAGUUUUACUGAACUGUUUAGCCUUCUGAAAAUGUUGUUAUUCGUUUUUUUCUUUUUCUCUUUUCUCAGAUGAUCCGAUAGCCAAGAGGUCUUCUGUACCUCAACUUAGAAACCCUCCUGAGACUAAAGAGUCAGAGAGAGAUUUGGAUACGGUAACUGUGGUUCCUGCUCAUCAUCUUAUGUGUUUCUCGCCAAUGCAGUUAAAUUAGCUUUUCAACUUGUUUUAACACCAAGAGUUUGGUCACAGCAGGAAAGAGGACAAGAGGGAUUCACUAUCGUCGACUUGCAAAAGAAAAUGGGAAUCUCUGUUUCUUCAGGGUUACGCCUUCAAAUACCCGAGGAGUUAGAAGAUCAAGAGUUCGUUGAGUUAGGAACCAGAUUGAUUGAGGGAGAUGCAGUUGAUAAUGGAGCCUCCAUGAUUCAGGUGAGUUUUUCCUCUUGUCUAUUUUAGAAUGUGUGAUUGUGUUAUUCUUGUACUGAAAAUGCUUCUCAAUGAAAAGAUGGCAGCUGAAGCACUUCGUCAACAUUGGAAAGAGUCCACUCCAGAGACUUUGCAAUUAAAGGAGCUUGGUUCCUUGCUUCGAGAUUAUCAGCGACUGGUUACCCGAAAAUACACGUGAGUUCUUAUCCAUGCCUAACUAUUUCAGACUCAGUUCUUGUUUAUGUAGAUUAUCUUUUGUUUCACUAAAAAUGGUUGUUCUUUGAUUGCGCUUGGAAUCACCACAUGGCAUUAGAAUAACUUAGAUAAAUCUCCUGAGAGUUUAGGAGUCAUAUAGAGUUAAUAUGAAUAUAUCAUUUUUGUGUCUUGAAUAGCCCUCGAGACUCUUUAAUCCGAGCAUAUUGUCAAAACUGAUAAUGUUGUGAAUGCAUUGUUUUGUGCCCCUACUAUUACAUGUUAUGAAAUCUCACAUCUGCGUCUUCCUUUCCUUGACACAUGUUUCUUUUCAUUUGUUGUGGCGGGUUUCUAUCAGAGCACAGAGCAGCUUAACAUCUGCUGAUUUUGGAAAGAAGACCUUUACGUUUUAUCAUAUCAAAAAUUCUUCCGAGGUAUUACUCUGCAUACUUUCCUCCCUCGCCUGAAUAUUUGACACCAAUCAAUCAAAACAUCAGGCUUUCCUCCUGACAUGUCAAGUUUACAUUUUGCUAUUCUCAGUUGCGGAUGGAUGACAUUCCGGAGUUGCUGGAAGAAUACAAAACCCUUGUAAUCUGAUUGAGGAGCUCUGCCAUGAAACUCACAAGGAGAAUACAAAACUCAUCAAGUAGCUGCCAAGAAGAUCACUGAUAUUACGUGUAUACGCACACCAAGUAACCUAAUGUGCACACUACCACAAUCGAAUGGUAUGUCGAUGUAUCACUUUAGGAUCGAAUCCACAGAGACCAACUAUUACACUUUAUCUUUAUGGGAUCAAUAUCAAGCUAAAACAAUAUGGGGGUUUUAAAGUUGAUUUCGUAACAAGCAAGUAAAAAGAUUAAUUAAAGAUUUCAGAUGAUUAAAAUGCUAGCCUAGGGUGGUUUGGUCGGGUGUUAAGCAAGUGUGAGCCAAACAAUUAUUCAAGUUCAAUUAAGAGCAAGUCUAGAACUCGGAUCACUCAAAUAGAACAAUCCACUGUCGUGGUACUGCCCCCUAUGCUGAUCGAUCUUGAUACCUAAACUCUCGUUUGGAUCAAGAUGCGACAGCAAGCAAUAGAGAUCAAGUCCGAUAUGUUCACAAAACACCCUAAUAUCUACUUUCGCUGAUUAGGGAUGCAAUGCUCAUUCAAGUUAUGUCUAGCAACCUAUAACACUUUUGAUGAAUAGAUUAAACCUAGAAUCAGGCACUAAGUGGUUAACUUGAUGCAAGCCUUAAGAACAACAGUGAAUGAAGACAAUCGAUUUAUAACUUAUUUAUGUCAAGCUCACGGAUCUAACACCCUAACACCCUAGACUAAGCAAGUUGACUACUCAGCCAUGAACAGAGAAAACAUAGAGAUCAAUUCUGAAUAAGACUUCAUGUAAAUAAAAGAGAUAGAAAGAGGGUUCAGGAUAAUCUUCUCUAUGGUGAGAGAGAUGGAGCCUUCUCCCUUUACAAUCCAAAAGCACAAAAGUCUCCAAUGGUUUUCUUCUGUCUAGAAUAGCGUAGAAUGAUAAAGAGAAACAGAAAAUAUGAUAUAUCAAAGCCACAGGCGGCUGGGAGAGAAAAUAGGGAUAAUUAGGGCAAAUCCCGUAAUGAUUGUAGUUUCCUUAAAAAUCUCUGCCGCUGGAACACUCAUUCGGAACAAUCACUCGGGUUGCUCCGCUAUCCGGAACAGUCAUCAAGACUGUUCUGCGUGAAAACCACCAAAUUGCACUGUUUGCUGCCUCUUUUGUUCCAGCUGGUCCAUCUCCCAUCCAAUGCAACUCCAGACCUGUAAUGACUCGAAAAGGACUAGAAAGACUCGAUAAAGACUUGAAAACCAAUUGAAAAGCAUAUAUACAAGAUGUAUAAAACACCAUAUAUCAAUUCCCCCAGACUUAGAUCCUUGUUUGUCCUCAAACAAUGUCAAGUAUCAAGAACAGGGAGAAAGGUUUGAAAGUGUGGGAACUCUCAUAUUCUCAGCAACCAUACUUUAACCACGAAUCUCUGAACCAUACAAGCAGUAAAACUAGGACAACACACCCUUACCGGAACCCCACUGACUGCUGUUCAAAAAUCGGCUCCAUACUCUUCAUCUCAAACCUGAAAAAGCAACACUAUCGAGACAGAACUCCCUACAUUCAUUUAAGAGUAGCGUGAGCUUCUCAUCACAGGCAUCAUUCAGGGUAGACGGUCUAGGUGUGGAACAGGCUAUUUAAUGGUGGAGUUAAGAGUGUUUAGGGGCUACCAUUUCAUUGAAGAGGAUGCAUGAUAUCACACAAAAUGGCAAGAGAGGAUAGAUCCAUUGAUGUCCACAGCCUCUACUCGUUUUUGCUCUAUCUGGUGCGACUGUUCUGAUGACGGAACAGGCAACUGAUUGUUCUGCUUUCCACUUUCCUCUACACACUCUUCAAUACUUGGUACCAACUUCUUGCUCGACCUUUCCAGUGGCUCUAUGUUUCUUUUCUUUCUUUCCCUUCUCCAUCACAUUGUUCUCGUUUUUUUUUUUUUUUUUGAAUACUGAUAUGGUGAUGUGACGAAGAAGGAGGUAAUACAUGAUCGUUCUGAGUGCCACUGGUGGUUCUGAUUUCGCGACCAUUCUGGUUCUCCACCCCUGCUCUUGCGCAGUUCAUUGGUUAUGGAGCGGUUGCUCCCUUAAUCUGCUUGUUCUCCUUUCUGACAAAAUUUCUGCAGCAGUAACGAGUAGGAGGCUGCGUUGAUCCUUUCCUCUCCGACCUUUUUGCACAUAUCUGCACAUAUGACACUGAAAAACAAAUGCAUGAAGGUAGAAUAAAGGCUAAGGUGCAGGGUGGGAACUAGCUAAAGAUGAGCUAGCCACUCAGGAUCAGCAAGAUGGAUAAAAAGGAUAAGAAGUCCUGAGUGUGUUCUCGUUUUCCUGAUCUAAUGCCCAUAACAAGAAGAAUUUUAGUCAAGAUUAGGUUCAAGUAAGGUGGAGUUAUGUCUACCCAGUGUAACCUGAUCGGCUGAGAACUUCUGGAGAAUCAAGUGAGAUAUGUCAGGGUGUUCAAGGUUCACAUGUGUGUCUUUCGCCACUGCUAAGGUCACUAAAUAAGAUAACUAAAGCACGAGGUGGUCAGUGAUCAACACAGAAUAAGGUCUUAAUUCCCACAAAGUUUUGACUGACUUAAUCAUAAAAACUGACUCAAACUGACUUAAAAGAAAAACAAAAGAAAGAAACAAGUUAGUAAACGACGAAAACCCUCCCCCAGACUUACUUCACAACGUCCCUGGUGUGAAAAUAAAUCAGAGAGAAGGACAAAACAAGAAUAAAUAUUUUUUUGUUUGGGUCGAGAUACUUACCUGAGUGGAGCAGGCGCUCCAUGAAAAUUCUGGGUGUUCUAUCGUCAGAUGAUCGCCUGGAACAACCGCUCUUUUCAGGGGAUAGGUUGUUCCGUUUCUGCAACCCAGAAUUUUUGAAGUAUCUCGAAUUUUUUUUGCUUUUUGACCUGAAACUUAAUAAACUAAAACGAAAAUUGAGUAAACAAAAACAAAACCAAGUUAUAUUUACACUUACCAGUGGGUUGCCUCCCACCAGCGCUUGGUUUAAGUCUCUAGCUUGACUUGGUGACUGGGAUCAGUCGGGUUGAGCAGGAGGGCCUGUUCCAAAACAAGCUCCACAAUCAGACAUGUUCAGCUUCAAAACCCUGCUCAACAACCCUUUCACAGCAGCUUCCCCUUUCUCUUUCAGCUCAUGUGUGAGAAUAGCUCUGCUUUAGAGAACGGUUUAGAGGUACCCUUGCACUUUACCUCAUACUCAAUGGAGUUCUCAUCACACUUGAGAGGUAUCAAAGUCACUGUAGGAUCUCCUUGACCCUUUUCUUCUGGACUUUCUGUUUCACCCUUGAAUUCCCUCUGAAUUUAGUAGGAUCAGUGCUAGGAUCUUCAUCAAAGAACAGUCUGCUCUCACCCUUAUCACCAUGCUCCUUCUCUGGAACAACCUUCAGCUUUUCUACAUCAAACACUGAGAUGCGAGAGGCGUGUGAUGAGGAAGAUCUGGUGGGUACAGCCUUGUAGAAUACUUUCUUGUUGAUGUUGGAGAAGCAGACUCUCUUGUUGGGCAUAUCGAUGGUUGCUCCAACAGUAGCCAUGAAUGUCCUUCCAAAUAUCAAAGGCAUCUCAUGAUCUUUGUUCAUCUCAACAACCUGAAACUCAGCAGGAACAAUGCAUUCCCCUACUUGAACAUGAAGGCUGCGGAUGGUUCCAUAUGGGACUGCUCUGGAAGAGUUUGCAAAGGUCAGGGUCAACUGAGAACGCUCAACAUCAGCAAUACCCAAAUCGUCUACAAUAGCCUUUGAGAUGAGAUUCACACAAGAACCAGAGUCACAAAGAGCGUCCUUGAAGGUUGUUCCUGCGAUGGAACAUGGGAAAACAAACUUUCCAGGAUCAUGAACCUUAGGCAAUACCUUCAGUGCUGGCGUAGACAGUGCUCUGGUAUAGAGGACCUUGAUCUCCUCUUGAGUCUCUCUACAGUGUUUAAAGAACUGGAGCAAUGGACGAAUCUGCAGAGCAUCUUCGAAUGCAAGUUCUUUAGGAAGCCUUCUCACCAUCUUGUUAAAACCUAUCAGCUGCUCUUCACUAAUGGGAUCCAUCAGAUGUCUAGGUGGAAUUGGAUAGGGAACCUUGGGAACAUAGACUCGCACUGGUGGAGUUUCAGCAGGUUCGCUAGGAGCAAUCACUCCAGAGCUAGCAGACUGCUCUGUGUUCUCUUCUGCGCCUAGAACAGUCUCAGCGAACGGCUGCUCUAUUGCAUUACAGUGCUCAGUCCUAGGAUUUUUAUCAGUUCUUCCAGGGAGCGUCUCUUGUUGCCUCUUGACACUCUCAACUGUUUGAGCAAGCUGAACAUCGAUCUUUCUUAUAUGGAUUGCAAGAUUGUCAUACUUGUUAUUCAGUUCAGUGAACAUGUUGCCCAUCCUGGUGUCUAUUUCCGUGGUUACCUGAUUCAACACCUUGGCCUGAACCUGCUGACCCUGCAACAGUUGUUGCAUCAUCAUACCCAGACCCUUCAGCUCAUCUGGUUGACUGUUCUCGGUAGCUGGAACAACAUGCGGAUUGCUCUGCGGUUGUCGUUGGUUCAGGUUCUGAAUAUGCCCGGCCGUAGGUUGCUCCAUGCUGAAAACGUGUCCUUGGUUGUUUUUCAGUAACUGAUCAACCUUGGCAGUCAGCUCAUCUAUUUUCUGGGCGUCAGAACUGUUCCCUUUCAUGGAGCGAUCACUCUCCUCUUUCUUAUUAGCUGAGCUAGCAGCCAUGUUCUCAAUCAGCUUAAACGCUCCAGCAGUGGUUUGAGUCAUGAAGUCUCCAUUGCUCGCAGAGUUUAGAGCACCUUGGUAUUUCCAGUCCACUCCAUCAUAGAAAAUAUCCAGGAUAUAAUCAUCAUCAAAUCCAUGGUGAGGACAUUCUCUGCGAUAGUCAUUGAAGCGCUCCCAUGCGUCGCAGAAAAGCUCAUCAGUGAGCUGUCUGAAGGAGGUGAUCUUGUUCCUCAAUGCAGCUGUUCUCGCCUUAGAGUAGAAAUGGCUGAGGAACGCUGAUCGGACCUGUUCCCAUGAAGUGAGAGAGCCGGUAGGGAGAGAGUUCAACCACCGUGCAGCUUUUCCAUCAAGAGAGAAUGGGAAUAACAUGCACGUGAUGUAGUCUGGUGGAACACCAUUCACGCGAGUGAAACUGCAGACUUUUUCGAAGCUCUCAAUAUGCUCCAUUGGAAUUUCUGUAGAGAGACCAGAGAACACCUUUCUCUGUACUAGACCGAUCAAAGCAGGCUUGAUCUCAAAGUCCUGCCUAGUACAAGGUGGAGGAACAAUGGCAGAGCGCGUAGUAGGGAUGUUACGCGGGAGGUUUCUCUGCCCGAUUGGAACAGUCUGCGCCUGUUGUUCCUGCUGCGCGAGAGCAGCCUGUUCAGCAGCAUCCUGCUGAGCUUGGAUGGUCUGCUGCAUUUGUUGCAUCUGCUGCUGCAUGAGUGCCAUAGCCGCAGCGAGAUCAUCUUGAUUGGCGUGAUCACCCAUAGUGGUGUCGGUUUGCCUUGGCUGUUGACGAUUUGUUCUUUCUAACCUUGCUAGCUCCUGGUUGGUAAAUGUAACUAACUCUCCUUGUGCGUUUCUUCGAGUAUGUCUACUGGUCAUGCACCUGGAACAUUAGCUGCAACAAAAAGGAUAAGGCAAGUUAGAGGUCUUAGACUAAAUAAAUAACCGAAAAAUAAAGGUAAAAAGAUGGUCCCCGGCAACGGCGCCAAAUUGAUAUUACGUGUAUACGCACACCAAGUAACCUAAUGUGCACACUACCACAAUCGAAUGGUAUGUCGAUGUAUCACUUUAGGAUCGAAUCCACAGAGACCAACUAUUACACUUUAUCUUUAUGGGAUCAAUAUCAAGCUAAAACAAUAUGGGGGUUUUAAAGUUGAUUUCGUAACAAGCAAGUAAAAAGAUUAAUUAAAGAUUUCAGAUGAUUAAAAUGCUAGCCUAGGGUGGUUUGGUCGGGUGUUAAGCAAGUGUGAGCCAAACAAUUAUUCAAGUUCAAUUAAGAGCAAGUCUAGAACUCGGAUCACUCAAAUAGAACAAUCCACUGUCGUGGUACUGCCCCCUAUGCUAAUCGAUCUUGAUACCUAAACUCUCGUUUGGAUCAAGAUGCGACAGCAAGCAAUAGAGAUCAAGUCCGAUAUGUUCACAAAACACCCUAAUAUCUACUUUCGCUGAUUAGGGAUGCAAUGCUCAUUCAAGUUAUGUCUAGCAACCUAUAACACUUUUGAUGAAUAGAUUAAACCUAGAAUCAGGCACUAAGUGGUUAACUUGAUGCAAGCCUUAAGAACAACAGUGAAUGAAGACAAUCGAUUUAUAACUUAUUUAUGUCAAGCUCACGGAUCUAACACCCUAACACCCUAGACUAAGCAAGUUGACUACUCAGCCAUGAACAGAGAAAACACAAAGAUCAAUUCUGAAUAAGACUUCAUGUAAAUAAAAGAGAUAGAAAGAGGGUUCAGGAUAAUCUUCUCUAUGGUGAGAGAGAUGGAGCCUUCUCCCUUUACAAUCCAAAAGCACAAAAGUCUCCAAUGGUUUUCUUCUGUCUAGAAUAGCGUAGAAUGAUAAAGAGAAACAGAAAAUAUGAUAUAUCAAAGCCACAGGCGGCUGGGAGAGAAAAUAGGGAUAAUUAGGGCAAAUCCCGUAAUGAUUGUAGUUUCCUUAAAAAUCUCUGCCGCUGGAACACUCAUUCGGAACAAUCACUCGGGUUGCUCCGCUAUCCGGAACAGUCAUCAAGACUGUUCUGCGUGAAAACCACCAAAUUGCACUGUUUGCUGCCUCUUUUGUUCCAGCUGGUCCAUCUCCCAUCCAAUGCAACUCCAGACCUGUAAUGACUCGAAAAGGACUAGAAAGACUCGAUAAAGACUUGAAAACCAAUUGAAAAGCACAUAUACAAGAUGUAUAAAACACCAUAUAUCAAUCACCAAGAUUGCUAUCAGCAUUACCAUUGCAAACCACAAAGCUAAAAAGUCUCAAGAGAAUCACAUCUCUGAUAGACAACUAUGUGCAACUUCUUUUUAGCAAGAACAAAAAGAUACAACGUAUAUGUAAGACUUCCAUUAUCUCAACUUAAAUCCAUAUCUAAGCCUCUGCUCUUUUAUUUCUUGUUUGGGCUUUGAAAAUAGAUUGCUUUGCCUUGAAGCCAAUGCGAAAGUAAGGAAAAAAGUAGGCAAACUUCAUCUAUUAGACUUUGAAAUGGAUUACAACAACAACGGUACUCUUGAUAACUUAAACCACAGAGUUUCUGUCUGCAUAGACCCGUAUUGUCUUUUCUCUAUCCCCUAAAACAACUCGAACUCAAGAUGAUCUCCCAUGGCUUUACAUUCAAGAUAUCCAUUACCAUUUCCUUUAGGAGAAGUUGCUUCCGUUGCACCAUUCUCAUAUACAUCAGGCAGAUCAGGCGGAAUGGCGCAGCGGAUGAGAGCCCAGUUCAAUCCUUCAAAGAAUGGAUGCCUCUUGAUCUCUGCAGCUCCUUUCUCCCACCCGAGGCGGCUCCCCGGAUCCUUCAUCACCAACCUUCUGAUCAAAUUCUUUGCCUGGAAGCUCACAAGAGGGCUAUCAGGAAACUUGAGGUUCUGAAACACAAACGUCUCCUCAUUGUCAUAACCUUUGAACGGUGUCUUCCCGUAUAAAAGCUCAUAGAGAAGAACCCCAAACGUCCACCAGUCUACUGCAGCACCGUGACCUUCUCCUUAAUGAUCUCCGGCGCCAAGUACUCGUGCGUUCCUACAAAAGAGUUUGAUCUUGCUUCAGUUGGUUCAGCCACAAGCUGAGGCAAUGAUCUGAACUGUUGGGUCAGAAGAUCAGGCCUUCUCUGUUUUCUUGGUUUUGAGUUUCUAGCUUGCGUUGACAAGAGCCUAGGGCUGAAACAUGGGACACGGCACGAUGGACUCUAUCUAAAUCACAGGUUCUUCAUCUUCUUUGGAAGCUGAGGAGCUUGAUACAAUAAUUGAAGACGAAGACAAACAGCAGUAUCCAGGCGAUGUGCACCGCAGCUACAGCUGGUAAGAAGUCAUGUUCGAACCCGGAUCCAUCUUUGAGCAACUGUUUUAGUUCCGUGUCUAGGAGACCAGUGUUCUGCACUAUCGAAUCUUGGUCUCCUACUUGAGAUGUGAUGCUUCCAUACAAUGUCCAGCCACUGGCGUUGCCUAGUAAUUAAUAUCAUCUCCACCAUAUCAAUAUUUGCUGCAUCCCCUCCUCCAUAAGAAACAUAAAACAUAAAAGUUAGGUAGCUCUAAAACACUUCUGAUCAUAACAAAAAGUAAGAUCUAUAACACACUUGAUGAUUACGUAAGUUGGUUCGUAAUUUUUACCAAUCUUUGGGAUGAGGAACUGGAGAAAAGAUUCCAAAUAGACCGAGGAAGAAAGACAUGCAGAUUCCGGAGAUUUGAUAGUUUGGUGUCAAGGCCACAAAGCAUCAAGCUUGGUAACAUGUCGUAGUAGUAGAAGUAGAACCAGAAGAACUUGACCACAGUACGGUCGUAUCCUAUCAUUGAGUAAAGGAUUAUAGUAUGUAAACUCUAGUUUGUAUGGUGUCAUACUACAUGAUCUAACAACUUUGUCUAUAUUAUCAAUUUUCCUAAUUAAUUAUUUCUAACAAAAAUAUAAUUUUUAAAUAUUAACGAAUAUAUUUUGGAAGUUGAAAAUAAGGUAGAAAUUUUGUACAAAAGGGAAGGAAGGAUAUGGGGGAAUUAUUUGCCUGCGAAAAGUCAUUAUCCCUUACAGACUAGAAAAGUCGCAUAUUUUCUUUUUAUUCAAAAUCAGAACCACAGAUGGCAGCCAAUAUAGACUGUUGAUAAGAUUGACUUGGAGUCAACUCUUUCAUUGCCAUUCAUAUCUCUUCUUCCAAAGAACGUCUCUAAGCAAGUUGAAGAGCUGUUACAUGAAAGGUAAAUCAUGUUCUUGUAUCAUUAUUUGUCUGUUUAACUUGCUUUGAUCUGUCUUUUGGACUCUGUUGUGGUUGAAUCUGAAUUUAAAAACGAAAAUUCGUUGGAUUAUUACAAAUCUUGUUUUACGAAUUUAAACCAUUUAAUCAUCAAAUCUUGUUAUAAAUUGUUUGAAUAAAAGUAAGUUAAGUAAAGUUCCUCUGACAUGUAUCAUGUUUUAUUAGAUCAACCAAGGAUUAUCAUAAACGGUUUUAAAUCGUACUACAAGUUUGUACUUAUGUGUUGUGUUGAUGGUGGAACAGGAGAAUAGUGAUGGCUGAGGGAGUUGUGUCGUUUGGAGUGGAGAAACUCUGGGAUCUCCUCAGUCGAGAAUCAGAGAGACUGCAGGGAGUUCAUGAGAAAGUUGAUGAUCUAAAAUGUCAGAUGAGAAUGUUACAGUCGUUGUUGAAAGAUGCAGAUGCCAAGAAAUAUGAGAGUGUGGUGAGAAACUUCUUGGAAGAUGUCAAAGACACUGUUUUUGAUGCUGAAGACAUAAUUGAAUCCUUUCUUUUGAAAGAAUUGAGUAGAAACCAAAAAGGGAUCAAGGGGCGUGUGAAAAGACUUGCUUGUUUCUUAGUGGAUCGCCGAGGUCUUUCUAUGGACAUUGAAGGCAUAACUAAGAGAAUGGCCAAGGUUGUUGGGCAAAUGCAAAGCUUUGGAAUACAACAGAUCAUCUACAGAUCACCGUCUCUACAAGAGAGACAGAGGGAGAUCCAACAAACAUAUCCUAUGGGAUCUCAAAAGGAUCUUGUGGGGGUGGAACAGAGUGUUAAAGAAUUGGUUGGUCAUUUGGUGGAGAAUGAUAACAUCCAAGUAGUUUCCAUAUCUGGGAUGGGUGGUAUUGGAAAAACCACUCUUGCCAGACAAGUCUUACAUCAUGACAUUGUUCAAAGUCAUUUUGAUGGAUUCGCAUGGAUCUGCGUUUCGCAAGAUUGUAAGCGGAUGGAUAUUUGGCAAAAGUUAUUGCAAGACCUUAGACCUCAAGAUAAGGGCAUCGAACAAAUGAAUGAGCCUACACUCCAGGCUAAGAUCUUUCACUUGUUGGAAACAUCUAAAUAUUUAAUUGUCAUGGAUGAUGUAUGGAAAAAAGAAGACUGGGAUAUAAUAAAAGGCGUUUUCCCCCAAGAAAGAGGUGAGCUCUCUAAUUGUACAUACAUUACUUACGAACUCUCCAUAGCUAUUUCAUAAAUGCCUUUUCAGUCUCUGAGAUGAAAGGAAAUACAAUUGCAGGUUGGAAAAUGAUUCUUACUUCACGUGAUGAAAGUGUUGGUUUCCAUGCAGACCGAACAUGUUUUCCCUUUAGACCAAAAACUCUUACUCCUGAAGAAAGUUGGAAGCUAUGUGAAAGCAUAGCAUUCCCUAGACGAGAUAUAACCGGUACGUUUUUAUAUAAGAAUCAUAUGAAUCCUUAAGGCCAGAAAGCUUGAUAUCUCUUACGGACCUUCUAAUCAAAAUUCUUGUGUUGUAAUUCCUAAAUCAUCCUCUGGGAUUACAUAUAUGGUUCCAAUGUUUAAAAAAUCGAUUUAUUCUAACAUUAUCUCUUAAUUUAAUUUAUUUAGAUUAAUUUAUAAUGAUUUAAACCGAUUUGAAUUGUAUAAAUUGGUAUAAAUCAGAUUUUAAGAAAAUCGUUUCGAUGGGACAAAGUUAGCCUAUGUGCCGCCUAGACCAAUUUUUAGAACAUUGUAUGGUUGUAUAUACCUUUGAGAAACAUUAUAGCAUUUCAUUUAUGUCAUAUGUCAUCAGCAAUGUUUUAAAAACCGGAUCAGACAUUGAUUCGGCAUUGUAGCUGCGUAAAUGGUCAGAUCGGUGCAAUUAGUUCAACUGACUUCUAAAUUUAAUUUAAUUUUAAAUUCAGUAACUACAUCUAUGUAUAAUAAAAUUGUUCUUAUAAAACUUUAUUUCAUUGUUAAUAUCUAAAAGAUCUUAUGAAAAUAAAAUGACAACUUCAAAAAUAAUAUAAACUAUAAUGAAACUAAUUGAUUUAGAUAGAUAUUAAAAACAAUAUGAAAUCUUUUUAAAAUUUGCAAAUUUUUAUUUUUAAACUUGAAUUUGAGAAAACUUGAUUUUAAUAUCGAACCAGAUUACCGGUUUUAGCAAAUUUGAACAGUUUAUGACAUGGUUUACCGGUUUAAUUCAAAUUCAGUUUUAAUACAACUCAAAACCGGCUAGAAUAACGAGUCAAGGUCCAACCGGGCAAUCCGGUUUUCAAAACACUAGUCAUCACCAUAAUGAUUCUUUUUUUUUAGAGAAAUAUGUUAGCCAUCUAAACAUAUAAUAUAAUACUCAUUAAACUAAAUAUUAAAUUAAUUAUUAAUGUACAAAACAUAUUAUUCCUUCUUUGCUUAAGUAUAAGCUACAAAAUUACAUAAUGUGAUAAAUAUAUAUAAGGAGUUUUCUUGCGCCAUGCGCAAAUAUACUAAUUUUUAGCUAAAUUUUUAUUUAUUUUAUUUUAAAUAAAAAUAAAUUUACGUUUUCAUACUAUUAUUUUUAUAUUUUAAAUUCAUCGGUCUGGAAAAGAGUGAAAUCACAACUAUUUUUUUGUAAUUUUGUUUCAUUUGAUUUGUUUUAUUUAUUUUAAUUUUAUUUUAUAUGAAUUUUAUUGGAGAAGAAUUAUAUUUUAUAUAACUUUGAAUUUUAUUUAUUUAUAUUUAGUGAUUAUUUAUUUUGAAUAUGUUUCUUAUCCUCUAAGUGUAUAAAUUUUAAUAAUGAUUGGGUUUCUGUUUAAAUGUAUAGCUAAUAUGUUAAACUCGUAAACUCAAUUUCUUAAUUAAUCAAAUAAACUAAUGGAUGCUAAUAAAAUUUUAAACAUUUAAUCAUCCAAAAAAAUUGAUUAGCAUUGCUUUAGUUUUGUGUUCCCUAAUGCACACUUACACUUUAUUUUAAUAAAAUAUAAAAUAUAUAUAGAAAAUAUGAUAAAUAAGUUAAUUUAAAAUUAAAAUAUAAUUAUAUUUAGUUUAUUUUUAUAAAUAUGAUAUAUAUAAUUUUAUUUUAUUUCAAUGGUGAUAUAUGAAUUAUUAGUUAUUAAUAUAUUUUAAAAGUCUUGCCAAAAUAAACAUUUACACAGAAAUGCUAACUUCUAAAUAGUGAUAUAAACAUUAUUAGUCAUUACCAUUUUUAUAAAUUCUUACUAGAAAUAUAUAAAUUUGUAAAAGUUAUUAUUAUUACCAUAUUUAAAAGUCUUUAACAAAAAUAUAAAUUUUUAUAAGAAAAUUUUCAUGUCAAAUUAACUUGAUCUCAUGUCAUUAUUUUCUAAAAACAUGUCAUUUUUUUGGGUGAGAAUGAACACUGUGAUGACAUGUGUACAAAACCACUUUGCAAUUAAUAUUUAGGAGAUACUACAAUCAAUGACUUUGAAUAAUAAUGAUUUGAUAACAAUUUGUGUAUCAUCUAUCAUCUUUAUUUAAUUUUAUAUUAUUAAAAUAAAUUAAUUAAUCAUAUUAAUCAUCUAAUAAAAAUAGAUUUUCCUUAUAUUUUGAAUUUUAAAGAUGACUAUAAAUUACUAAAAUUGUUAAAAUUAAUGGUUUAAUUUUAUUAUUAUAAUAAGAUACAAAUGAUCAUAAGAACUUAUGAAUAUGAAAUUUCAUUUAAUAGAACUGUAGAUUAAAAAAAAAAUAUAUAUAUAUAUAUAUAUCUAUUUCAAUAUCGUUUAAAUUUAGCUGUAUAUAUAUAUAUAUUUUUUUUUCUGAACAUUUGAAAAGACUAGAGACAUUAUUUCAAGGCUCUAAUGUUAUAAUAUGUGUUACUGUUUUCAGAAUUUAUUGUUGAUGAAGAACUAGAAGCCAUGGGUAAGAAAAUGGUCACACAUUGUGGAGGACUACCAUUAGCCGUUAAAGUGUUGGGAGGCUUGUUAGCUAAUAAAAGCAUGGUUGAAGAGUGGAAAAGAGUAGAUGACAAUAUUCAAAGUCAGAUAGUUCGCAUAGAUGACAACAGUCAAGAUUCGGUUUACCGAGUAUUGUCUAUGAGCUAUGAAGACUUGCCAAUGCAGUUAAAGCAUUGCUUCCUCUACCUAGCUCAUUUUCCUGAAGAUGACAAGAUACAAAUGGACAUAUUAUAUUAUCUAUGGGCAGCAGAAGGCAUAAUAAAGUCAAGUGGCGAUGGAGAAACCACUUGGGAAAUUGGAGAAGACUACAUAGACGAGCUAGUACGGAGAAAUAUGAUUAUUGGAGUAAAAGAGGAAUUGAGUUGCAGAUGGGCGUAUUGUCAAAUGCAUGACACGAUGAGAGAAGUAUGUUUAUAUAAAGCCAAAGAAGAGAACUUUCUUCAGAUUAUCAAAGUCCCUACUUCUUCUAUGUCUACCAUCAAUGCUCUUACUCCUACCAGAUCUCGCAGACUCGUAGUACACGGUGGUGGUAAUUCACUUGAUAUGCUGGGAGGUAAAAACAAUCAAAAAGCUAGAUCUGUUUUGGGUUUUGGACUCGACAGCAAAUCGUCGAAGCAGUCAGGUCAAGGACUCAGAAAUUUACAAUUACUUAGGGUCUUGGAUUUGAGUUUAGAUUAUAAAAGCGGCGACUCUAGAGGGUGGAGAAUACCAUCCAGCUUUGGAAAGCUCAUUCAUUUGAGAUAUUUGAGCUUACACAUGCGUUGGGCAACUGAUGUACCUUCUUCUUUACGGAAAUGAAAUACUUCAUCUGCCAAGUAUCUUUAAAGAGAUGGUAGAGUUGAGGUUCCUGCAGCUUUAAAGAGAUGGUAGAGUUGAGGUUCCUGCAGCUUCCCCUUCUUCUUGACGCUAAAACAAAGUUGGAAUUGGGCAAUCUAGUGAACCUGGAGUGCUUGGGCUGGUUCCAAUCAGAAAACGGUAGCAUCACAGACUUCCUCCGAAUGAAAAAGCUCAGGACUCUCCACAUAAAACUCAAAGGCAGGUAUACUUCUGAAACUCUAGCGUCAUCUCUCUGUGAAUUAAGAAACCUGGAGGAGCUUAGAUUGAUCGAUGAGAACAACGAAUCCGAUGGGGCUUAUGAUUUGGAUUUCGUUUGGAAUUUCAUUCAUCUAAGGGAAUUAUGGAUGGGUAUACAUAUGACAAGGCUCCCUGAUCACUCUCGAUUGCCUCCCAACCUUGCACACAUAUGUCUAAUUAAAUGUGAAUUGGAGGAUGAUCCACUGCAGAUUCUGGAAAAGUUGCUUCAUUUGAAGUCGGCUGUAUUACAUUACAGAUCUUUCGUGGGGAGGAAGAUGGUGUGUUCAAAAGGUGGAUUCCCUCAAUUAUGUAAGCUAGACAUAAUGUUCCUACACGACUUGGAAGAGUGGAUAGUCGAAGAAGGGUCGAUGCCAUGUCUUCGUACCUUGUCUAUUCAAAGUUGCUACCGGAAGGGCUCAAGUAUAUCACUUCUUUAAAGAAACUGGAAAUCAUACAUAAGAACAAGGAGUGGAAGACGACACUCGUACCAGGUGGGGAAAGUUACCACAAAGUCCAACACAUUCCUAGUGUUCAAUUAAACUAUUUUGGCCACGAAUAAGGAGAAUAAAACUGUCUCAGGUAUAUAUUCUUUUUUGGUAUAAUGUCAAUAUUGUUCAUUUUGUUGGUUAUAUAUCCUCCUUGAAGUUUAGUGUGAAAGUCUAAACUCUCUGUUAUUCGGUUUUCAGGUGAACCUACUCAGGAUCAGUACCCACCACUAUCGAUUGUGUGAUAUGAUAAUAAGUCGUUUUUGUUGUAUGAAGUUUACAUAUCUUGUUUGUGAUAUAUUCCGUAUAUCUAUUUGCAUGCUCAUUCACUCGUCUCAUAAGAUUCUUCUCCUCUGCUAAAGGAUCACUCUAAAUCCAAAAAUCCACUUCAUUAAUUUACAAUAGUACAAUACUAGUGAGAUGAUAAAAUUGUGAUGUAAAUUAUCCUUUUUCUUGCUGAGCAUUGUCUUCUAUGCGUUGUUGCUAAAUUUUUAUUUUUCACAUACUAGUAACUGCGCAGUGGAAGCGCUUACCGAUAAGCAAUGAUGAGCCUCCUCCUCCUCGAGCUUACCAUACAAUGACUAGUAUUGGAGCUCGUCAUCUUUUAAUUGGUGGUUUUGAUGGAAAGUCAACCUUCGGUGAUCUUUGGUGGCUGGUUCCUGAAGGUAUUAAACUCUUAUUUGUACUAAUGUUUUACUCCAACUUAGCUAUCAUUCUGUGUACAUGCAUCAUCAGUUACAAUCUCGGUGCUGGUCACAGAUUAUAGGCAAUUAGAGACACUUAAUUUCUAGCAUACUCUUUUUUUUCUUCUUUAUCAAGUUUGUAUUGAAAGUUUUGAAGUUUUACACAUCUGAUUGAAUUUACUGAACUGUUUUAGCCUUCUGAAAAUGUUGUUAUUCGUUGUGAAAGAAAGAAAUGGAUUAAAGAAAGAAAUGUUGUUAGCGAUCUAACUCUUUUUCUCUUUUCUCAGAUGAUUCCAUAGCCAAGAGGUCUUCUGUACCUCAAAUUAGAAACCCUCCUGAGACUAAAGAGUCAGAGAGAGAUUUGGAUACGGUAACUGUGGUUCCUGCUCAUCAUCUUAUGUGUUUCUCGCCAAUGCAGUUAAAUUAGCUUUUCAACGUGUUUUAACACCAAGAGUUUGGUCACAGCAGGAAAGAGGACAAGAGGGAUUCACUAUCGUCGACUUGCAAAAGAAAAUGGGAAUCUCUGUUGCAUCAGGGUUACUACGCCGUCAUAUCCCCGAGGAGUCAGAAGAUCAAGAGUUCGUUGAGUUAGGAACCAGAUUGAUCGAGGGAGAUGCAGUUGAUAAUCGAGCCUCCAUGAUUCAGGUGAGUUUUUCCUCUUGUCUAUUUUAGAAUGUGUGAUUGUGUUAUUCUUGUACUGAAAAUGCGUCCCAAUGAAAGGAUGGCAGCUGAAGCACUUCGUCAACAUUGGAAAGAGUCCACUCCAGAGACUUUGCAGUUAAAAGAGCUUAAUGCCUUGCUUCGAGAUUAUCAGCGACUUGUUACCCGAAAAUACACGUGAGUUCUUACUCAUUCCAACUAUUUCAGACUCAGUUCUUGUUUAUGUAGAUUAUCUUUUAUUUCACUAAAAAUAGUUGUUCUUUGAUUGCGCUUGGAAUGGCAUUAGAAUAACUUAGAUAAAUCUCCUGAGAGUUUAGGAGUGUUAUAUAGAGUUAAUAUGAAUAUCAUUUUUUGUGUCUUGAAUAGCCCUUGAAACUUUUUAAUCCAAGAAUUGCCAAAACUGAUUCAUUUCUUAAUGUUGUGAAGUCCUCACAUAAAAGUUGAUUGUAAAUGCAUCGCUUUGUACCCCUCUGAAAAGUAUUAAAUGUCAUGAAAUCUCACAUCUGCUUCUCCCUUUCCUUCACACGUUUGUUUUCAUUUGUUGUGGCGGGUUUCCAUCAGAGCACAGAGCAGCUUAACACCUGCAGAUUUUGGAAAGAAGACCUUUACGUUUUAUCAUAUCAAAACUUCUUCCGAGGUACUUCUGCAUACUUUCUUCCUGUUAUUAGCUUUAUUGAACAUUUGACACCAAUCAAUCAUACAUCAGGCUUUCCUCUGACAUGUCAAGUUUUCAUUUUGCUAUUCUCAGUUACGGAUGGAUGACAUCCCCAAGUUGCUGGAAGAAUACAAAACCCUUCUAAUCUGAUUGAGGAGCUCUACCAUAAAACUCACAAGGAGAUAUACUAAAACCCUUCUAAACUCAUCAAGUAGCUGCCAAGAAGAUCACCAAGAUUGCUAUCAGCAUUACCAUUCGCAAACAACAAAGCUAAAAAUUCUCAAAAGAAUCAUCUCUGAUAGACAACAAGACAUGUACAACUUCUUCUUAGUCAAGGACAAAAACAUAUACCCAUAUGUAAGAUUUUCAUUAUUUCUACUUAAAUCCAUAUCUCAGCGUCUGCUCUUUGCUUUAAAGCCAAUGGGAAAGUAAGGAAAAAAGUAGGCAAACUUCACCUCUUAUACUUAGAAAUGGAUUACUACAACAACAACGGUACUCUUGAUAACUUAAACCAUAGAGUUUCUGUCUGCUUAGACCCGUAUUGUCUUUUUUCUCUAUCCCCUAAAACAACUCAAACUCAAGAUGAUCUCCCAUGGCUUUACAUUCAAGAUACCCAUUACUAUUCCCUUUAGGAGAGGUUGCUUCAGUUGCACCAUUGUCAUAUACAUCAGGCAGCUCAGGGGGAAUGGCGCAGCGGAUGAGAGCCCAGUUCAAUCCUUCAAAGAAAGGAUGCCUCUUGAUCUCAGCAGCUCCUUUCUCCCACCCGAGACGGCUCUCCGGAUCCUUCAUCACCAACCUCCUGAUCAAAUCCUUUGCCUGGAAGCUCACAAGAGGGCUAUCAGGAAACUUAAGGUUCUGAAACACAACGUUGGACAAUGUCUCCUCAUUGUCAUAACCUUUAAACGGUGUCUUCCCGUAUAAAAGCUCAUAGAGAAGGACCCCAAAAGUCCACCAGUCUACCGCAGCACCAUGCCCUUCUCCUUUUAUUAUCUCCGGCGCCAAGUACUCGUGCGUUCCUACAAAAGAGUUUGAUCCUGCUUCGGUUGGUUUAGCCACAAGCUGAGGCAAUGAUCUGAACUGUUGGGUCAGAAGAUCAGGCCUUCUCUGUUUUCUUGGUUUCGAGUUUCUAGCGCAUUGAUGGGAGCCUAGGGCUGAAACAUGGGAAGCAGGUUCUUCACAGGUUCUUCACCUUCUUUGGAAGUUGAGGAGCUUGAUACAAUAAGCGAAGACGAAGACAAACAGCAGUAUCCACGCGCAGCUACAGCUGGUAAGAAGUCAUGUUCGAACCCGGAUCCAUCUUUGAGCAACUUUUUUAGACCCGUGUCUAGGAGACCAGUGUUCUGCACUAUCGAAUCUUGGUCUCCUACUUGAGAUUUGAUGCUUCCAAACAAUGUCCAGCCCACUGGUCGUUGCCUAGUAAUAUCAUCUCCACCAUAUCACCAACAAUAAACAUUUUCGAAACUACCCUCCCUCUCCCCUCUCCCAAUAAAAAAAACACAAAACUUAAAAAUUAGGUAGCUCUAAAACCCUUCUGAUCAUAACAAAAAGUAAGAUCUAAACACACUUGAUGAUUACGUAAGUUGGUUCGUAAUUUUUUACCAAUCUUUGGUAUAAGGAACUGGAGAAAAGAUUCCAAAUAGACUGAGGAAGAAAGACAUGCAGAUUCCGGAGAUUUGAUAGUUUGGUGUCAAGGCCACAAAGCAUCAAGCUUUGUUAACAUGUAGUAGUAGUAGUACCAGAAGAACUUGACCACAGUACGGCCGUAUCCUAUCAUUGAGUAAAGGAUUAUAGUAUGUAAACUCUAGUUUGUAUGGUGUCAUACUAAUAACUUUGUCUAUAUUACCAAUUUUCCCAAUUUCUUAUUUCUAACAAACUAUAAUGUAUAAAUAUCAAUGAAUAUAUUUUGCAAGUUGAAAAUAAGGGAGAAAUUUUUUUUACCAAAAAGAAUAAUAAGGGAGAACUACAGUGAAUGUUUCGAGUGGGCCUAAAGCAAAUGCAUUAUUGCCUUGCGAAAAAAUCAUUAUCGCCACAGACUAGAAAAAACUCCUAUUUUCUUUUUAUUCAAAAUUAGAACCACAAGAUGGCAGUCGUAGACUGAUAAGAUUGACUUGGAGUCUACUCUUUCAUUGCCACUCAUAUCUUUUCUUCCAAAGAACGUCUCUAAGCAAGUUGAAGAGCUGUUACAUGAAAGGUAAAUCAUGUUCUUGUAUCAUUAUUUGUAUGUUUAACUUGCUUUGAUCUGUCUUUUGGACUCUGUUGUGGUUGAAUCUGAAUUUAAAAACGAAAAUUCGUUAGAUUAUUACAAAUCUUGUUUUACGAAUUUAAAGCAUUUAAUCAUCAAAUCUUGUUAUAAAUUGUUUGAAUAAAAGUAAAGUUCCUCUAACAGGUAUCAUGUUUUAUUAGAUCAACCAAGGAUUAUCAUAACGGUUUUAAAUCUUACUACAAGUUUGUACUUAUGUGUUGAUGAUGGUGGAACAGGAGAAUAGUGAUGGCUGAGGGCGUUGUGUCGUUUGGAGUGGAGAAACUCUGGGAUCUCCUGAGUCGAGAAUCUGAGCGAUUGCAGGGAGUUCAUGAGAAAGUUGAUGAUCUAAAAUGUCAGAUGAGAAUGUUACAGUCGUUGUUGAAAGAUGCAGAUGCGAGGAAACAUGAGAAUGAAGUAGUGAGAAACUUCUUGGAAGAUGUCAAAGACAUUGUUUUUGAUGCUGAAGACAUAAUCGAAUCCUUUCUUUUGAAAGAAUUGAGUGGAAACCAAAAAGGGAUCAAGAGGCGUGUGAAAAGACUUGCUUGUUUCUUAGUGGAUCGCCGAGGUCUUUCUAUGGACAUUGAAGGCAUAAUUAAGAGAAUGUCUAAGGUGGUUGCACAAAUGCAGAGCUUUGGUAUACAGCAUAGCGUCAACAGAUCACCGUCUGUACAAGAGAGGCAAAGGGAGAUCCGACAAACAUAUCCUAAGAGGUCUCAAAAGGAUCUCGUGGGGGUGGAACAGAGUGUUAAGGAACUAGUUGGUCAUUUGGUGGAGAAUGAUAGCAUCCAAGUAGUUUCCAUAUCUGGGAUGGGUGGUAUUGGAAAAACCACUCUUGCAAGACAAGUCUUUCAUCAUGACAUUGUUCGAAGUCAUUUUGAUGGAUACGCGUGGAUCUGCGUUUCGCAAGAUUUUAAGCGGAAGGAUAUUUGGCAAAAGUUAUUGCAAGACCUUAGACCACAUGAUAAGGGCAUCGAACAUAUGAAUGAGAAUACACUCCAGGCUGAGCUCUUUCACUUGUUGGAGACGUCUAAAUAUUUAAUUGUCAUGGAUGAUGUAUGGAAAAAAGAAGAUUGGGAUGCAAUAAAAGACGUUUUCCCCCAAGAAAGAAGAGGUGAGCUCUCUUAUUGUACAUACAUUACUUAAGAACUCCCCAUAACCACAUUUCAUAAAGGGCAAUUGUCAAUAAUAGCACAUUUUGAAGUUUAUGUCACAAAAAGAGCACUAGAAGGAGAAAAUCACAAAAAUGACAUUCAUUAAAGGGUAAAAUGUCCCUAAUAUCCUUGGUUUAAAUUAAAUAAACAAACAAAAAUAAAUAAAUAAAUAAAUAAAAAAUAAAAAAAUAAAAAAAAAUAAAAAAAUAAAAAAAAUAAAAAAAAAUUUAUAGUUUCAGAUUAUAUGUUUUCAGAUUCGAAAUUUUUAUAAUUUUUUUAAAAAAAAUUUUGAAUUUUUUUUUUAUUUUUUUUUUCAAAUUUUCUUUUUAUAGUUUAAAAAUAAUUUUUGAAACUGUUUUAUAAAUUUUUAUUUUUUAUUUUAGUAUUUAUUUUUUAUAAAAUUUUAAACCCUAAUUCCAAAACCCCACCCCCUUAACUCUAAACCCUAAGGUUUGGAUUAAUUAACCCAAGGGGUAUAAGUGUAUAUUUACCUCUUUAAUGAAACCUAUUUUUGUGACUUUGAGCCUUGAGUGCUACUUUGGGAACAAAAACUUGGUUUGGUGCUAUCCUAGUCUUUUUCUCUUUCAUAAAUGCCUUUUGAGUCCCUGAGAUGAAAGGAAAUACAAUUGCAGGUUGGAAGAUGAUUCUUACUUCACGCGAUGAAGGUGUUGGUUUGCAUGCAGACCCAACAUGUUUUCCUUUUAGACCAAAACCACUUACUCCCGAAGAAAGUUGGAAGCUAUGUGAGAGCAUAGCAUUCCCUAGAAAAGAGAUAACGGGUAAUGUUUUUAUAUAAGAAUCAUAUGAAUCCAGAAUCCUUAAGGCCAGUAAUUUCUUACGGCCGGGACAUCUUAUCAAAAAUCUUGUGUAUUAAUUCCUAAAUCCGCAUGACAUAUAUUAUUACAUAUACCUUUGAGAAACAAUAUACCAUCAAUACUAUUAAAACAGAAGACCUUUUUUUGAGGUGCUCUUCUGUUUCAACAAUAUUUUCAGAUCUUUGCCACUGAAAUAUUUAAAACUUAUGAUUUUAAUUAAAUUCUGAAUUUUCUUUUAUUUAUACAACAGAAAAUCUAAUAAUGAAUCAACACGUUAUUAAAGUAAACCGACUUAUUUAAUAUUUUACCAAAAAAAAAAAAGUAAACCGACUUACCCAACGAACGUAAACCAACCAACAUACUUAACAAUAAAAUAAAGUGUUAUGCUGGUUCAAUCCAUCGAAGUAUAAAUUAUAAACUACAUGAUUCUAUAUACUUAACACGUCUUUAACUUGAUAUCAAGUAUAUAAACAAACAAUUUACAGCAUUUCAAUUCCUAUAGGAUACCGGUUCAAAUGUUCUAUAGAAAACUAAAUCGACGUUGGUAUGAAUUAAAUCAUCCAAUAUAUCACACUUAAAGAAACGAAUAUAUAAACAAUAAAUAUUAAAUAUAUGAACAAAAUAGGUGUGGGAAUAUUCAUUAAGAACAGUUAAUAUUUUCCUAAUUGAAUGGUCGAUAAGAUAUUUAUAAUAAUCAUAUUUUUCAUAGCAAUCAAUUAAAUGCAUCAGUUUCGGAAUGCUAACUAACAAUACCUUUCUUUUUAAAAAUAAAAUUAGAAAGAUCUUCCUAACUAAAUAAUUAAGUCGACAGCAAAAAAAAAAUUAUACAUGAACAAAAUGACUAAUCCUAUUAGAAAAAAUAAAUGAAUUUAUAAGGGUUUGAGAUUUAAAAAGUGUCGGUUAAAAAAGAGACGGGUUCAAAUACAUGACAGAUUUAUUUAUUGUAAAAUAUUAUUUUUAAAAACAAUUAAUUAUAAACUUUCUGAAUAUUUUUUUUUAAAUUCACCUUUCGUAUUGAAAUAUAAAUAUUCUAAAAAAAAUUGUUUUAUCAUGUAAUCUAAGAAAUAUGUCAUUACAAAUAUGUUCUUUACAAUUUCAUUUAUGAUAAUAAUGUGAAAUCUUUUUUUUCAAUAAUGUAUUUUUUCCUAUUAUAAAAAAUAUUAAUAAAAUAUUUUAAUAUUUUUAAUAAUAUAGUUAUUUGAAUUCAGUAUUUUUAAUAAUAUAGUUAGUACAAAAUUAAACUAACCCUUAAACUUACACAAUAUUUACAAUAGAAUGCCACUGCAGUAUUUAAUAAACCUAACAAUAGAUAUUCUUUGUCUUUCAUGUAUUAUUAAUGCAUUUUCCUAAAUUAAUUUUUAACUAAAAACAUGGCAACAAUAAUUUAAGCAAAUCUAAACAAUAAGGAAUAUCAAAACAUGAAUCAGUUGAGACAAUUUUUUUCACGAAAAAGAUGAUUAAUUAGUUUGUACUUUUAUUAUCAUAUCAUGAAUCAGUUGUAAUUUAAAAUCCAAUUUUUAUAUAUAUAUUUAUACUAUAAUGUAAAAAAAAUGACGUAAUAAGUGAAAAAAUCAUUUUAACCACACGAGAUCAACAUAUGAACAAUAAGAAAACAUAUACAAACAUCGUCCAUUUGUUCAAUGAAUAUUAUAUCUUUUUAAUGCUCUUCAUAUACUCAAUAUAAUCAAAAUAUCUAUUUUAAUAUAUCUAUAUUAUUAAAACUGAGGUAAGUAUUAGAAUAUUUUUUUUCAUUCUAAUAACUACAUGCGCUACCUAAUUAAUAAUUAUUAAUUAAUUGACAACAAAUCAUUUAUUUUGUUAGAUUUUUUGCUAUCCAAACUUCAAACUUAAUUCAUUAACUACAAAUCAUUUAUUUUGUUAAAUUCUUUUCUAACCAAACGUACGAAACUUACGAUUAUUUUCUAACUGGAUUAUUCUGUAACCAAAUUUUACAAUAAAACUAAAAAAAUUUAUUUAAAAUGUAUCUACAAACUUUAAAUGUUAUAGAUAUAUUCAUAUAUAUAAUUAUUUUAUUUCACAUGCAAAAUAUAAACUAUAGAUAUUUUUAUAAAGUUAUUUUCAAAAUAUAUAUUAAAUAAUUUGAUGAUUAAUACAAUUUACAAAUAUAAAUUUAAUUAUAAGAAUACAAUAAAUAAAUUUCAAUUUAAUAUUUUCUCAAAAAUGAAAAUAAAAGUGAAAUUUAUUUGGCAUAUAAAAAAAUUUAGAGACAUAUAUAUCUAUGUUAUUAAAACAUGAUACAUUUAAUUUUUAAAAUAUAAAUUUAUUAAUAUAUAUAUAAACAUAAUAAUUGGUACUCUAAUUUAGAAAUAAAUACAUCAAAAUGGUUACUGUAGUCAAAAAUAUAAAUCGACAAAUAUAUUAUAUAAUUUAUUUUUAAUUUGUUUUGUAUUCUACCAUAAUAUGAGAAAUCAACAAAUUACACACAGUAAAAAUAGUCCAUUUAUCACAAUUACAAAUCGAAUAAAUACCAUAUGAAUGUAUAUAUCUACAACUAUUAUAUUUUGUAUUGUAAAAAAAAUUAUAUUUCUAUUUUGUUAAUUAAACACCCGUGCGGAUGCACGGGUCAAACUCUAGUUUGAUUUAUUUCAUAUGUCAUCACCAAUGUUUUAAAAACCAGAUCGGACAUUGACUCGGCAUUGUACCUGGGUAAACGGUCGGCUCGGUCCAACCCGGUUCAAGCGGCUUUUAAAUUUUAAUCAAAUUUUAAAUUAAAUAACUAUAUAUAUAUAUAUAUAUAUGUAUAAUCAAUUUAAUUUUAUAAACCUUUCUAUCAUUGUUAAUAUAAAAAAUCAUAUGAAAAUAAAAUGCAACUUCAAAAAUAAUAUAAAACUAUAGUGAAAGUAAUUUAUUUAGAUAAAUAUUAAAAAAAAUAUGAAUUUUUAUGAAAUCUUUUUUAAAAUUGCAAAUUUUAUUUUUAAACUUGAAUUUGAGAAAAUUUAUUUAAAAAAAUCUCAUAAUUUCAUAAUUGAAAAAUAUUGUUUAAAAUCAGUUUAAAAUUGCAUUAUUUAAACAUAACUUAACAUUUAAAAGUUUUACGUAAACACAAGUUCAAUUAAAGCUACUUAAUUUUUUAUAAAACUUUAUUGUAAAUAACAUGUUUGGUUUUCUGUUGUGAAAGCAACACUAAGUAUAAAUUGCAUGCACCAUUAAAUAUUGAUUCUGGCAGAGUAACAAACGUUACAGAUACUAAAGUUUUAGCUAGCUCUAUUCAAAUAUGAAAGAAUUUCUAUACCAAAAACGAUGUGUGUUUUUUACUGAGAAAAACAUAAUUUUUUUUACUGAGAAAAACAUAAUUUUCUUGAAUAAAGUAGAAUCUUAAAUAUUGAAAUAUUUAUGUUGAUAGUUCAAAUUUCUUCUUAUAUUAAAUUACAUAUAAAUCUGAUAUUGAUAUAUUUAUAUUAAAGAUAUUGUCUUUUUAUAUUAAAUUUAUUUUUUAGUUAUAAAAAAAGAAAAUCGUUUUUAUUAAAUUACAUGUUUUAUAUUUAUUAAAGAUAUUUCCUUUUUGAUGAUAAAGUGAUUUGGAAACAAAUAUUUAAAUGUUUAUUAAAAUAUUGAUAGUGGUAUUUUAACAAUAAAAUUUAUUUAUUAAGGUUAUCACUGUAAUUAACCAUUCUAAGAAUCAACGUGAGUGCGACACGUAGAAAACUGACUUAUCAUAUACUAUUAUAGAGAUAAAGUACUAUUAUGGAGAUAAAGUACUAUUAUGUUCUACACAACUUUAUAUAAUUUUGCUUAUUUGUCAUCUAACACUAUUAAAAGGGGAAUAACAAGCCCUCUUAGAUGUGCCACGUCGGAUUGGAAAUUCAGACCAAUCAAACACAAGUUUUAUGACAUGUCAUUAGGUCAACACAUUAACAUACUGAACUUCAAUUUUAUUCGGCAAAAUCGAUUCCUUUUUCUUUCUUCUCAAUUUCUCUGCAAAAUGUAUUCUGAACUUUUGAUUUUCUAUCCAAGAGUCUACUCAUUGAUUCCUCUUCCUUUCUUCUCUCCUUCUCUACAAAACUUUUACCAUACCCAAGAGUCACUUUUUUUUUAAACUUCAGGCUUGUGAACUCUUAUUCUCGAAGUUGACUUUUGUGUGGUUCUCUUAGAAAUCCUAUUUCUGGAUUUAUGAUUCUGAAAAUUGGAAUUUUGUUUUUCGUAGUUGUAAGAUGGGGAAGAGAUGAGAAAGCGGUUAUAGGCGUUUCAGACAAAAAAAAGAAACAAGAGCUAAAGAAGGAGAAUCACGAUAAAUUACAAAGAGAUUUACGGCAAAGAUCAAAUUGAUGUGCUCUCCUCUGAACUCUGAUGGUAUCAUGGUAAAAAUAUUUGAUUCAAAAGCACUAAAAUUAUAGAGUGGAGAGAUUUGUGGAGAGAUUCAGUUUUUUUGUUCUCAUGUAAUUUUAAGUUAGUUCUCUCAUUGUUGUAUCUUUUCGCAUGAACAUUGUAAUUGAGUUGUUUGUGUGUAUGUCUUUUUAUAGAGUGUGGAUCACUGGAUCAACAUGGGUUUGCAAGGGACAAAAUCUGGGUAAUCGAUGACAAUCUAUCUCCUAUUUACUCAAAAGAGUUCUUAAGAAAAGCUUAGUUGAUCUUCAUCUCAAACCAUCAGAAGAGGACUUAAAGCAAUGGUCUGACAGGUAAAAGUAAAACCAUCAUCAUGCCUUUUAUGAUCUAUCUUUAUAGAUUCUGAAUUCUGUGUGUGUUUCCUUUUUGAGUUCCAGGUUCACUUGCUAUAGAUGGCGACUCAACAUUGAUUUCUUUAGAAACAUCAAUGGCAAGCCCUUCAGAUUCUUAUUUGCAUAUCAUACUUACCUCGCUGUCUCAGAUAUAAGGUAAUUGUACUCUUUAAAAAAAUAUAUCAUCAGCAAAAUAUUCUGUGUUUGAUGAAUCAUUCAACUAUUGAAGGAUCAGAAACAUUUGACUACUUGGAGAACCUCAGCAAAAAUGAGCUUUUGACUCUACUAGAGUAGAAACAUACUUCCCUGAGAACAAGUAUCGUUCGUUAACUGCCCAAAGUGGUAUCUCUCAGACACCAUAAGCUAAAUAAAUGUUUCUUUCAACGUGCAAAAAUCUGAAUCACAUUGCUUUAUAUUUCUAAUCUUCUUUGUUGGCAGGAACUUUGAAAACACAUUAAGUGAAUAGAACGUGUGAUGAUGAACUCAAUAUUCAGAACGUCUUUGUAGAACAUGAUGUCGUUUGUGUAAGUCGUAUAAUAUAAUAACUGUUCCAUAUUUACAUAUAUUUCGUCUUAGAACACAAAUCCAGACUGACCACAGAGUUCUUUAUUUUUUUGUUCUUAUAUGGUUUGAUUCGAAGUUAAAGUUCGUUUCUUUAAUUAUGUGUGUUGCAGAAGUCCAAGAGGAAUGAGUAUGCCAAACUAUCUCCUAACGUUUGCAAGGUAUUGUUUUACCUUGUCUGAUUUGUUUUCAUCAUUCUGUAAUUUUCAUGUGUUUGUUCGCUACAUGCUCGCAAGAGACUCAGCUUGAUCUUUGAAAAGUGCUCUGCUUUUUUCAAUUUUAGUUAGAGACCAAGGUUUCAAUUUUUGUUGCUGUUUGUUUGUGUCUCAGACUGUUUCGGUCAGGUUGAUAAAGGGGCUAAUAUUCUUGAAAUUUAUCGCAAUCAUUGUGAUACUGAUCACACUUGCUCGCAUGACGCUGCUACUUGCUCUUUUUGGUUCUUUGCGGGAGAAAUUGAAAGACUUGCGUUUAGCAUCUGAUCUCUCUUCUUUGUGUGUGUUUCUGCAAGUAAAAAUGGUUAAGGGCUUUGAAUGUACUUUUCAUUCUGAUGGGUUAUUUGGGAUUUAAAGUUUUUGACAUUCUCAGAGUUUCCAUAAAUUUGCAGCAUUGAACGUCAUUUUCCCUUUAUGAGUCCGUGCAAUAAGCUUGAAGACAGAGGUGGAAAGUCGGGGAGGUGGAUGGGACGAGCUUGCUGUGAUGGAUGGGGCGGAGAGGCGUCGGAUCUGAAGAAGCUGUGUAGUGGAGAUGGCAGAGGAAGCUAGCGGUGGUAGUGGUGGCGGCACAAAAAGAGAGAGCACUGGAAGAAUGGAGAUGAAUUUUAGGUUUAGUUAAAAAUUUGGUUUAGUUUGGUUUAGUUUAAUAUCGCAUUCAUAAAUAUGUAAACAAUUUCAAUAUAUAAAAUUUAAUUUAAUUUAUAUUUUUCAUAAUUUUUUAUUUUUUAAUAAUGAAAAUAAUUAACAAAAGUAAUACAUCAUUAAAAUCAAAUUAAUAAAUUUUAAUAACAUUUGUAUAACGUUAUUAUAAAUAUUAACAAUUGCAUAGAUAUUAACGCUAUUGUUGUUUAUUUAACUAUAGCAUACGACAAAUCCGCUAUCAAAAGGGUUGGACGAUGUCAGAGCGUUUUAGGGAACGCUAUUAAAAUGAACUAAUAGCGUUUAACGCCAGCUAUUAAUACCCCAUUUCCUAUAGUGUUCGAGUUACUACGCCAGAGUAUGCAACAUUCAGCAAGGUGGUAGCUUCCAGUUACGCUAAAUAGUCAAAAGUUGGAAAGUUUGGAUUUGAUCUGGUCACGUGCUCAAAGUCAUACCUUUUUAUUAAUCUUAUAAUGGUAACUUCUUUCUAUUGUUGAAAAUGCUUUUCUUUCUUUUAUAUAGAGUGAAGGUGGUGACAAAGCAGUUAAUCAGUUAGACAAAUCUGUUAAUCAACAAUAGCCGUCAACAUGUCUAUUGAGAACAAGGAAGUUGCUGAGAAGAUACAUCCGAGAACUAUACAAGUUUAAUUUUCUUGAUCUAUGUGUUAGUUUUAUCGCCGCCAACGUCCAGGAUUGUGAUCUCCAGUCUCUGCUUUAUACUAUAGUUCAGGUUAUAAAUGGAGUUGCUACACUGUUUAGUGGACCACGAUACCUGCUCCUAAGGGUUAAAUGUAUUCGAUGGCUAAAUCUCUUUCGUGCAAGUCGCAUAUUCAUUCCUAUAGCUUCACUGGUAUUGGAUAUACUGGAAUAUAAAUCCAUAAAUGAUAGUGAAAAGCAAGGAAGUAGCUUGAAGCUGUUUCAACCGUAAAGCUGCUUAAGAAUUGGUUGAAGUCCCUGAAUUUCCAAGAACAAUGUAUCUUUUCUGUGAUUGAGCUCCUUGCCGUCCACUUUUCUCAACGGAGCUUCAACAUAUCUUUUCUAGAGCUUGCUAUUAUUCCCUUAUGAGGCUGAACAAAUUUAACGAGAGAAGCAUUCUGGAAGGGUUAAAGAUGGACAUGGUGGUCAAACACUUCAUCAAGCAGGUGGAGUUGAAUAUUGAGUCUGUACACAAUACUAUCAAAGCAUCACAGACAAAGGUCUUGGAACAAAAAAAGAAGAAGUGAGACAAGUGUGCGAACAAUAAUAAUGCAAUUCCUGGGUUUGCAACUCAGAUUAUAGGGCAUAAUCAAACCGUAGCAGUUAGAAUUCUCAAAUUCUUAAACCAUUUUUGUUUCAUAAAUUAUUUUCAGAAAUACACAAAACGUCUAUGCAAUCUGGUUAAUAAAAACGGUGAAACAAAAAUAAAUCAGAUUCAUUCGAAAAAAUGUGUUUAAUCAGUAAUCUAAUUUCAGACCUACAACAGUAAUGUUUUAAAAAUGUUUUAAAAACAAUAGCCAAAAAAAAGUAGCAAUCUAAUUUCAGACCUAUGACAGUAAUGAUUUUGUUAUAUAUCGACAAUUUAUAACUUUGAGAGAGCUUUUAAACUGGGUAUGAGGUCCUCACUCUUACUUGUUUUCGAGAGGUCAUGCAAGAUCAUGUUUGAGCAAAGUUGACUCAAACACUACCCAACAAACAAACAAAAAGCUUGAACAUGAAAAAAAAAGUAUUAAUAUUUACAAUGAUUUCCAAAGUAUUAAAUAUUUAAAUGAUUAUCAUCAAAUGUAGUUAAAUAAAUAUUAAAAUAGUUAAAUUAUUAAAAUAAGGAACUAUGUAUAAAUUAAUAUGACAUCAAAUGUAAGAAAGUAAACCUUAAAUAACUUUACAACUAAAAAUAUUCAAAUCAUGAAGCAAAAUUUCUUUCCAUCACAAAAAAGCAAACAAUAAAUGAUAAAUUAAAUAUUUGGUUAAAGGUAAAUGGAGACAACAAACUCGAUUGGUACUUUCUCUUAAAUUCAAGUAUAAAAAUGAAAACUUAAUAAUUGUAAAACCAAACAAAAUUUAUACAGUAUUAAUUAUAAGUUUUACAAUUUUUUUACAUAAAAAUAAUAACCAAGAAAAGAAUAUAUAUAGAUCUUAACUAAUAAUUUAGUUAACUUUUUAUUAAUCUUUGCUAAUAUGAUUCUAAUAUCCUAUUUAAAUUUCCAAUAAAACACACAAACAAAUUCUAAUAGUUUUAAAUAUGCAUAUAUUUUUAUAAUUAUUCUUUAACCAGUUCCAGUAUAUAUUAUAUUUGUUCAUUUUUAAAAUAAAAAUACACAAAUUCAAUUAAUAUUAUAGGAAAAAAUCCGGGCGUAGCCCGGAAAACCCUCUAGUAUUUUUAAUGAUUUUGACUGAUGAAUCAUCAAUUUAGAUUUAUACUAUUAUUUAAAAUUUUAUCUUAUUUAGUCAUCAAUUAUUUAUUUAAUCUUAAUUUUAAAAUAGAAUUAAACUAAUAUUUAAAAUUAAUUAAUGUAAUCAAAUAAUAAAUCUAAAAACUGACAAAAAUUAUUUUAAAAUAAAAUUUAAAUUUAAAAAAAUAUUACUCUAAACAUAGUGCAGAAAAAUACCUAAUACAACUUCAUAUUGUAAGUGAACAUAAUGUUCAAGACAAAAAAAAAGUGGUAGUAAUAGCAAAAAGUAUAAAUACAAAGUAAACUAUAAAGGGGCCAUCAUAAAACUAACAAUUCUUCAAUAGUUAUAAGUUAGAAAAUAUUAUAUAGAUUCUUUAACUUAAAAAUUAGUUAUUUAUUAAUGGUAUCAACGUUUUUAACCGAUCUGACUUUUAAGGUGAGAGCUAAUAAAAAAAAAUUAAAUCAUUUUGCAAAUAAUAAAUAGAUAUAUUAUAUUUUAACAUUUAAAAGACACACAUAUAUUUCGAGGCUCUAAUCUUAUAGUACGGUUUUCAGAAUAAAUGUUGAUGAAGAACUAGAAGCCAUGGGUAAGAAAAUGGUCACAUAUUGUGGAGGACUACCAUUAGCCGUUAAAGUGCUGGAGGCUUGUUAGCUAAUAAAAACAUGGUUGAAGAGUGGAAAAGAGUAGAUGACAAUAUUCAAACUCAGAUAGUUCGCAUAGAUGACAACAGUCAAGAUUCGGUUUACCGAGUAUUGUCUAUGAGCUAUGAAGAUUUGCCCAUGCAGUUAAAGCAUUGCUUCCUAUACCUAGCUCAUUUUCCCGAAGAUGACAAGAUACAAGUACGGAUAUUGUAUAAUCUUUGGGAAGCAGAAGGAAUAAUAACGUCAAGUUGCGAUGGAGAAACCACUAGGAAAAUUGGAGAAGAAUACAUAGACGAGCUAGUAAGGAAAUAUGGUUAUUGCAGUAAAAGAUGAUUUGAGUUGCAAAUGGAAGUAUUGUCAAAUGCAUGACAUGAUGAGAGAAGUAUGUUUAUAUAAAGCCAAAGAAGAGAACUUUCUUCAGUUUAUCGAAGUACCUACUUCUUCACCUCUACCAUCAAUGCGCAUACUCCUACCAGAGCUCGCAGACUCGUAGUACACGGUGAUGGUAAUGCAUUUGAUAUGCUGGGACGUAAAAACAAUCAAAAAGCUAGAUCUGUUUUGGUUUUGGACUCGACAGCAACUUGUGGAAGCAGUCAGGUCAAGGAUUACGAAAUUUACAACUACUAGGGUCUUAGAUCUGAAUUUACAAACACAUGAUAGCGACUCUAGAGGAGGGAGAAUACCAUCCAGCAUUGGAAAAGCUCAUUCAUUUGAGAUAUUUGAGCUUACACAUGGGUCGUGCAACUCAUGUAGAGUUAAGGUCCCUGAUGCUUCCCUUUAUAUUGACGCUAAACAAAGUUGGAAUUGGGUAAUCUACUGAACCUAGAGUACUUGGUCGGCUUCCGACUUGAAUACGUAGCAUCACAGACUUCCUCCGAAUGAAAAGCUCAGGACUCUCGAGAUAUUUCUCAAAGGCAGGUAUACUUCUGAAAUUCUUGCGUCAUCUCUCUGUGAAUUAACAAACCUGGAGACGCUUAAAUUGAUCAAUGUGAACGGAUACGAUGAGGCUUAUGAUUUGGAUUUCGUUUGGAAUUUCAUUCAUCUAAGGCAUUUAGAGCUGGACAUACAUAUAACAAGGCUUCCUGAUCACUCUCGAUUUCCUCCCCACUUGCACACAUAUCUCUAUGUGACUGUAAAAUGGAGGAGGAUCCACUGCAGAUUCUGCAAAAGUUGCUUCAUUUAAAGUCGGUUGAAUUAUCAUAUAGUACUUUCGUGGGGAGGAAGAUGGUGUGUUCAAAAGGUGGAUUCCCUCAGUUAUGUAAGCUACAAAUACGGUUCCUGCACAACUUGGAAGAGUGGAUAGUCGAAGAAGGGUCGAUGCCAUGUCUUCGUACCUUGUCUAUUCGGUAUUGUAAGAAGUUGAAGGAGCUACCGGAAGGGCUCAAGUAUAUAACUUAUUUAAAGGAACUGGAUAUCAGACAUAACAACAAGGAGUGGAAGAAGAAACUCGCACCAGGUGGGGAAAGUUAUCACAAAGUCAAACACAUUCCUAGUGUUCAAUUAAACUAUCGUGGCAAUUAAUAAGGAGAAUAAAACUGUCUCAGGUAUAUAUUCUUUUUGGUAUAAUGUCAAUAUUGUUCAUUUUGUUGGUUAUGUAUCCUCCUUGAAGUUUAGUGUGAGUCUCAACUCUCUGUUAUUCGGUUUUCAGGUGAACCUACUCAGGAUCAGUACCCACCACUAUCGAUUGUGUGAUAUGAUAAUAAGUCGUUUUGUUGUAUGAAGUUUACAUAUCUUGUUUGUGAUAUAUUUCGUUUAUCUGUUUGCAUGCUCAUUCACUGUAAUACUAAGUUUGAAAUAUAUUUUGUAUGUUGAACCAUAUCUUCUUCGAUGUCUCCGUUGUGUGUGCUUAGUUGAUUUUCAUAGUCGGAACUGGAGAUAGAACGAUGGUUUUAUCAUGACAAAACGCAAGAACAACAACACAUAUAAAUUAGAUAUGUUGUAACAACUAUUUAAAAAAUUGAAUGAUGGAAACCCCAAAUUUGUUUAAAGAAAAUGAUGUUGAUAGUGGUUUUUGAAAAAAAAAAAGGAUUAUGAUGAACAAUAACAAUGAAAACUCAUUGUAAACACGCUUUAGAGAGCCAAACAAAUAAAUCAAUUCUAAGAUUUUUGGUGGAAAGGUAAUUUAAGAGGAGAUGGAAAACGAUAACAGGAAUGAGUCUUUAAAAACACACAUAUAUAUAGAUUGAUAAAGGAUGCUUCAUCUAAGAGUUGUAUUGUUUUGAGAUGGAGACUAUUCGGUGAAAAGAUGCAACGCACCGCAGUUUUGUUUUUUUAUAUCAUUAAAUUCAAUCAAAUAUGACUGUUGGACUUAAAACCUUUUUCUUUUAAAAAGUGACGAUAUCACCAGUUUUGGUAUGCUAUUAUAUAUAUAAUUUUUUUAUAAUGAAAAUAUACAAUUUUAAAAAUUAAUAAUAUUCAGAUUGUUAUGAAAAUAUACAAUUUAUAUAAUGAACAGACACAAUUUUUCAAACUAAUACAUUUCAGUUUUUUUUUAUGAAACAACACAACCAAAGUAGUUAUUUUGAAAAGACACAACUAUUUCGAUUUUUAGAAAAGAUACAACUUUUCAACAUAAGUAAGAUUCAUAACCUUUGAAAUUAAUCAGGAUUGCUAUUAUUAGUAGAUAAAAUAUUUGAUUUUAUCAUAUAUAUAUAUAUCUAUUAAUAAUAGCAAUCCCAAUUAAUUCAAAAGGUUGUGAAUUCUACUUAUGUUGAAAGGUUAUAUCUUUUCAAAAAUUAAAAAUUGUGAUUUUUCAUAUAAGUAUUAUUACAAAAAGACACAACUUUUUAAUUCAAACGAUGUGACUCUUCGAAUUUUUUUUUGAAAAUCUGUAAAUAAUCCAAUGUCCAUGCCUUCUCAAAGCAUAAUUUCCCUAAUCAAAUAAAAUGGUCACAUUCGUAGGGUUUUUAUAAAUACUUUAAAAAUAUAUAUAUAUUUAAAUAAAAAAAUGUGACUAUUUAUAGUUAAAAGUUGUGACUAUUUAUAUAAGUAUUAUCUCAAAAAGAACAACCAAUUAAUAUGAAAAGUUGUGAAUUGAUAGGUUGUGUUUUAAAACAUGUAACUCUACAAAAUAUUAGCUUUAAGAGUUGUGUUUUUUCAUCAUAAAUGAUAUAUUAGUUUUCAAAAGUUAUAAAAUAUUCUAUAAAGUAUCUUUGUACAAUUAUUUGUUUCUAGAGUUGUUUAUUAGUUAGUGUAAAUAGUAAUGUCUUUCUAUUGUAAAAGAAAACUAGAUUUUGACCCGCGCUUUUUAAGCGCGGGUUUUUUUCCGACAAAAAUAAAAGUUUAAAUUGAUUAUUAUUUUGUGUUCAUAUAAUUUUUUUAAGAUUAAAGUCACCAUGAUUUAUAUUGAUGUGAUCAAGCAUCUGCGUUUUUGAAAUUUGGUUGAAAUGUUUUUAAAAAUGAUGUUUGUUUGUCUAAUAGUAUAUGAAAUAUGAAGUGUAAAUAUAUAUAUUGGUAUUGGAAAGAUUGUUGCACACAACUAUAUAUAUAUAUAUAUAUUAACUAUCAAAAUUUAAAAAUAUAAAAGCAAAUAUAUAAAAGGAUUUAAUAUGUAGUUAUUAUAAAGCUAUAUUUUUUUCUAUACAUAGUCAAUAUUUAAAUUAUUGUUGAAAAUUAAAAUCUAAGUUUUUAAUUGCAGGUUUAUUAAUAUAGGUGUAAAAUGAGUUUUAAUAUAAACUAUGACAUUGUCAUAUAUACAUGAUACGUUUUUUUAUUUCACAUGUCCUAUUAGAAACAUACCAUAUAUAGGUCUAUUUAUUUAUACUGCUGGUACAUACGAUUUUAUAUAUACCUUUAUCAAAAUAUGCGAUAUUAUAAGGACUAAAAACCUUUUAACUAACGUUGAGUAAUAUAUGGUAAUAGGAGAAAUAAUAGGUAGACCAAUAUACUAUUAAUUAAAUAAAAGGGUGCAGUAACCUUGUUUAAGUAGAUUUCUCAAGACUGAUUCUCUUUUAAUAGAAUAGAUUUAGUUUUUAAAAAUAGUUAAGGUGUCUUUCUUUAAUAAAUAUCUUCGUGUCUUUCUAUUAAUCUUGUUGUAUUGUGUAACCUUGCAAUGUUUGGUUAUUAACAGUUGCAACUUUUAGUUUCUUAUAUAAAGAAUUUUGGAUUGCGACACAUCACAAAAAUUCAUUUACUUGAUUCACCCAAAACAUACAACAUUUUGUAUAUUUGUUUAUUUUAGAAUAACAACACUUGUGAAACAUAAAACAAGUGUUUCAAAACAUUUCGAUUGCAAAAAAGAAAAGAAAAUACCCAGUAUUCCUCAACAUGCAUACUGCAUAUAUAAUCUCAUACAUCACUCUCCUAAACUCUUUUUUCUUUGUUUUAUUUUUGUUGUAUUAUUGACUAGUAUAUAAUCUUAUAUUAAUAUUAUACUCAUGUGAUGAGAACUUCCCCCCCCCCCCCCCCCACCCCCCCCACCCUUUUCAAAAUUCGACCAAUUAAGUUGGUUCGUUGAAUCGUUAUCGAUUUUUAUAAAUUGGUUCUGCAACGGAUCAUCGUCCAUCGCGCAACACUCCAACCUCGUCUCCCAAGGCACGUUUACAGAUUUGUCAAGUCGUCAUGUUCUUCUGAUCUGAUAAAUGCGUAAUUUGAUGAACUCUUCUCUCGCCUAUUUGCGGUACUAUUAGGCAGAAGAACCCGUCGAUUUACGUCCCGUCACGACGGAUCUCCAGCGGAACUGCUGCGGCGACGCUGCGUUAUGCCACUGCUAUGAGAUCUUAUUCUACGUCGUUUAUGGAAGAGAGGGACACUUUCGGGCCGAUCCAAGUUUCUUCCGGUAAGUACAUGAUAUUUUUUUUUUUACCAUAACGUCUUGACUAUCUCAGUUCUCCAGUAUGUCUUAUCAGCCUUAUCUUUGUUGUCACUGUGUCAGAUUUUGGGGAGCCCAGACGCAGAGACGCUGCAGAACUUCGAAAUCGGUGAUGAGCACGAGCGUAUGUCCAAACCUAUCGUCUGCGGUUUUGGCGUCUUGAAGAAGUGCGUGGCCAAGCAUAGCUAUAAGUCUAUAACCAUAGGUUUUGUCUAAGUCAUGCACAUUGCCGCUGUAACUGAGAUUAAUUGAAGGCUCUUAUUCGUAAGACUGAUCAAAAAGCCAAUAAUGUGGCGGUGAUUUCAACCGGAAAGGAAGAUAAGUUCAAUUAUUAAGCUUCUAAAAAGUACAUAAAAACAUACCUUGACAAUCUAUGAUUAAGAGAUGAACGAAAAUGCAAUGCAGAUGAAUGAAGAGGUUGAAUAGAACGCAGAAAUCAGGAAUCAGAAAAAGAAAAUUGAAAAAAGGAGAUAAUUUGUAAACUGGUUAUCAAAAAUAUAAACGUAUGAAGAGGUGCCAACUAAGAGUCACAAUUUCAUUAAUGGAUAAAAGUCAGACAAUGCUUCACUACCGACAUACAACUUUGGUAGAGUCGUGUCUUAACUAAACCAUUGGAUUAAAAGGUUGCUAAUCUCAACAGUUUCCUGUUUUUUUUUUUGAAGAAAAUUACUAUAAGAAUAUGAAAUGGGACUUGGAACAAAAAAAAAGAAAAAAAAAAGAAAAGGGACUUCACUAACGACACAAAGCUUCAGUAGCGGUAGCGUCUCCUUUUUUUGUCAAAACAAAAAAAUUACUAAUCUGAACAGUUUCCUGUUUUUUAAAAGAAAGUUACUAUAAGAUUAUGAAAAGGGACUUCACUAACGACACAAAGCUUCGGUAGCGUCUCCUUUUUUUAGUCAAAUCAAAUGAUCAGCCCUUGGAUUAAAAGGUGUACUAAUUUCAACCAUUCCUUUAAACAAAAUUAUAAUAUAAAAAAAUGAUGUCAGAUAAAUACAAAUUUUGGUUUGCUAUUAUAUGUAGACCGUGUUUUUUUUGUAAUGAUAUAUCUUUUCAAUAUACAUUAUAUACAACAUUUUAAAAAAACUAUUUAUAAUUUGAAAAGUCGUGAUCAUUCAUAUACAUAUUUGAAAAACUAUAAAUAGCCCAUGUCCAUAAAUUUCUUAUUGUAAAUCUUUCAAAAAUUUAUUAAAAUGGCCAAAAAGAAAAGUUAUGUGCAGUAACCUGAUUACAAAUAAUUUGAAGAUAAUAGACGAAACGAUGUCAACAAAGAAUUGUAGCAAGGGUCAUUCAUGUUUGGCUAGUAAAAAAUUCUAAACGAGAUACUGAAGUUAUUAGUCUUAAUUUCUCUUCAACUAGAUGAAAAUGUGUGCUUUUAUUUCUUACAAAUUUUGCAUUUGUAAUGAUGUAUGUUCCAUGAAACACAUAUUAUGCAUGUCUUAUAUAUUCAUGUGCUAUAUAUUCUUACACUUGGGUUAUAUAAGAAUGUAUGAUCAUGUCACAAAAGCCGGUAAAUUUUAGUAACAUAAUAUUCUUAUUGAUUGUUGACAUUUUAUUUGAGUGGAUAUUUUUGUUUUACAAAACCAGUCAAUUAAUGUAUUUUUUUCUCAUUCUCUUGGGUUGUUUCAUAUUUGUGACAUCAAUAAUCAUUAUCAAUAAAAGAAUAUAGUUAUAUACAAAAUAAUUUUGUAACACGUGUAUUGUCUCAAAAUUAAUUGUAAACAAUUUUCAUAAAAAUUUAUUUUAUAAAAUAUAUUAUAUUUACUUUUAUGAAAUGAGUUCCCGUGCGAUAUCGCACGGGUUCCUUACCUAGUAUUAACAGUGGCGGUUCUACUAAGCUCAAGAAGGUGGCACUUGCCCCCUAUAAAAUCAUUAAAUUCUUUUUAACUUACCCAAAAUUUUGUUACAUACGUUUACUGAAAAUCAUGUUUUAUUUAUAUAGUUGUAUUUACAUAUGAUUUGCCCCCAGUAAAAUUUUGUUCUACAUCCGCCCCUGUAUAUUAAUUAACUUUUAGAAAUCCGACAUUUAUAUUUUUUUGUUACACUAUUUGGUGUAUACAAAAUAUGUUUUAUAGAAUUUAAAAUGUAUUUUUAUAUAUAAUUUUACGAAAUAUUAUCAAAAUAUAUUGAAAUGUUAAGAAAAAAUAGAAAUGAACUUCAUUUGUGAAUAUAAAACAAAUAAUACAAUGUUUAAUGUUUGUACUUUAUGUGUUUAUUAAUUAUAGAAUUUUUACUGCAUAUUGUUAUAAAUAUAUAUAUAUAUAUAUUUUAAAAACAUUUGAAAAGACUAAACACACUAUUAUUUCAAGACUCUGAUCUUAUAACGUGUGUUACUAUUUUCAGAAUUUGAUGUUGAUGAGGAACUAGAAGCCAUGGGUAAGGAAAUGGUGGCAUAUUGUGGAGGACUACCAUUAGCCAUUAAAGUGUUGGGAGGCUUGUUAGCUAAUAAAACCAUGGUUGAAGAGUGGAAAAGAGUAGAUGACAAUAUUCAAACUCAGAUAGUUCGCAUAGAUGACAAAAGUCAAGAUUCUGUUUACCGAGUAUUGUCUAUGAGCUAUGAAGAUUUGCCAAUGCAGUUAAAGCAUUGCUUCCUAUACCUAGCUCAUUUUCCCGAAGAUGACAAGAUACAAGUGGACAGAUUAUAUUAUCUAUGGGCAGCAGAAGGCAUAAUAAAGUCAAGUGGCGAUGGAGAAUAACGAGUCAAGGUCCAACCGGGCAAUCCGGUUUUCAAAACACUAGUCAUCACCAUAAUGAUUCUUUUUUUUAGAGAAAUAUGUUAGCCAUCUAAACAUAUAAUAUAAUACUCAUUAAACUAAGUAUUAAAUUAAUUAUUAAUGUACAAAACAUAUUAUUCCUUCUUUGCUUAAGUAUAAGCUACAAAAUUACAUAAUGUGAUAAAUAUAUAUAAGGAGUUUUCUUGCGCCAUGCGCAAAUAUACUAAUUUUUAGCUAAAUUUUUAUUUAUUUUAUUUUAAAUAAAAAUAAAUUUACGUUUUCAUACUAUUAUUUUUAUAUUUUAAAUUCAUCGGUCUGGAAAAGAGUGAAAUCACAACUAUUUUUUUGUAAUUUUGUUUCAUUUGAUUUGUUUUAUUUAUUUUAAUUUUAUUUUAUAUGAAUUUUAUUGGAGAAGAAUUAUAUUUUAUAUAACUUUGAAUUUUAUUUAUUUAUAUUUAGUGAUUAUUUAUUUUGAAUAUGUUUCUUAUCCUCUAAGUGUAUAAAUUUUAAUAAUGAUUGGGUUUCUGUUUAAAUGUAUAGCUAAUAUGUUAAACUUGUAAACUCAAUUUCUUAAUUAAUCAAAUAAACUAAUGGAUGCUACUAAAAUUUUAAACAUUUAAUCAUCCAAAAAAAUUGAUUAGCAUUGCUUUAGUUUUGUGUUCCCUAAUGCACACUUACACUUUAUUUUAAUAAAAUAUAAAAUAUAUAUAGAAAAUAUGAUAAAUAAGUUAAUUUAAAAUUAAAAUAUAAUUAUAUUUAGUUUAUUUUUAUAAAUAUGAUAUAUAUAAUUUUAUUUUAUUUCAAUGGUGAUAUAUGAAUUAUUAGUUAUUAAUAUACUUUAAAAGUCUUGCCAAAAUAAACAUUUACACAGAAAUGCUAACUUCUAAAUAGUGAUAUAAACAUUAUUAGUCAUUACCAUUUUUAUAAAUUCUUACUAAAAAUAUAUAGAUUUGUAAAAGUUAUUAUUAUUACCAUAUUUAAAAGUCUUUAACAAAAAUAUAAAUUUUUAUAAGAAAAUUUUCAUGUCAAAUUAACUUGAUCUCAUGUCAUUAUUUUCUAAAAACAUGUCAUUUUUUUGGGUGAGAAUGAACACUGUGAUGACAUGUGUACAAAACCACUUUGCAAUUAAUAUUUAGGAGAUACUACAAUCAAUGACUUUGAAUAAUAAUGAUUUGAUAACAAUUUGUGUAUCAUCCAUCAUCUUUAUUUAAUUUUAAAUUAUUAAAAUAAAUUAAUUAAUCAUAUUAAUCAUCUAAUAAAAAAUAGAUUUUCCUUAUAUUUUGAAUUUUAAAGAUGACUAUAAAUUACUAAAAUUGUUAAAAUUAAUGGUUUAAUUUUAUUAUUAUAAUAAGAUACAAAUGAUCAUAAGAACUUAUGAAUAUGAAAUUUCAUUUAAUAGAACUGUAGAUUAAAAUAUAUAUAUAUAUAUAUAUAUAUAUAUAUAUAUAUAUAUUUUAAUAUCGUUUAAAUUUAGCUGUAUAUAUAUAUAUUUUUUUUUCUGAACAUUUGAAAAGACUAGAGACAUUAUUUCAAGGCUCUAAUGUUAUAAUAUGUGUUACUGUUUUCAGAAUUUAUUGUUGAUGAAGAACUAGAAGCCAUGGGUAAGAAAAUGGUCACACAUUGUGGAGGACUACCAUUAGCCGUUAAAGUGUUGGGAGGCUUGUUAGCUAAUAAAACCAUGGUUGAAGAGUGGAAAAGAGUAGAUGACAAUAUUCAAAGUCAGAUAGUUCGCAUAGAUGACAAAAGUCAAGAUUCUGUGUACCGAGUAUUGUCUAUGAGCUAUGAAGAUUUGCCAAUGCAGUUAAAGCAUUGCUUCCUCUACCUAGCUCAUUUUCCUGAAGAUGACAAGAUACAAGUGGACAGAUUAUAUUAUCUAUGGGCAGCAGAAGGCAUAAUAAAGUCAAGUGGCGAUGGAGAAACCACUUGGGAAAUUGGAGAAUACUACAUAGACGAGCUAGUACGGAGAAAUAUGAUUAUUGGAGUAAAAGAGGAUUUGAGUUGCAGAUGGGAGUAUUGUCAAAUGCAUGACAUGAUGAGAGAAGUAUGUUUAUAUAAAGCCAAAGAAGAGAACUUUCUUCAGUUUAUCGAAGUCCCUACUUCUUCCAUCUCCACCAUCAAUGCUCAUACUCCUACCAGAUAUCGCAGACUCGUAGUACACGGUGGUGGUAAUGCAUUUGAUAUGCUGGGAUGUAAAAACAAUAAAAAAGUUAGAUCUGUUUUGGGGUUUGAACUCGACAGCAACUUGUGGAAGCAGUCAGCUCAAGGACUCAGAAAUUUACAAUUACUUAGGGUCUUACAUCUGAGUUUAGAUUAUAAAAGCGACUCUAGAGGGUGGAGAAUACCUUCGAGCAUUGGAAAACUCAUUCAUUUGAGAUAUUUGAGCUUAGACAUGGGUUGGGCAACUCAUGUACCUUCUUCUUUACGGAAUCUAAAG